CGGCGCUCAUCUCACUUUGUUGGCCGAGGGAGCCGGCGUACAGCUUCCGGGUCAUGUGGCCAGCAUGACUAAGCCGCUUCUGGUGAACCAGAGCAGCGCACGGAAAUGCCGUUUACCUUCCCGCCAGAGCGGUACCUAUUUAUCUACUUGCACUUUGACGUGCUUUCAAACUGCUAGGUGGGCAGGAGCUGGGACCGAGCAACGGGAGCUCACCUGUUGCAGGGGAUUCGAACCGCCGACCUUCUGAUCGACAAAGCCUAGGCUCUGUGGUUUAACCCACAGCGCCACCCACGUCCCUAAGCAUUAGUUAGCAUAUGUAUAUUUGUGUCCACACUUGUUUUCUUCUUUUAUUAUGCAGUUCAUUUUUCUUUUUCUUUUUGAGGGUGUGUGUGUUUGUGUGUGCAUGUGUGUGUGUGUGUGUGAGAGAGAGAGAGAGGCCACCGACCUUUCAGUGGGCAUUCACUAGCGAAAUCGUAUUCAGAAGCAAUGCAUGUGCAGAAAUUCUAACUAACAGCAAGAAUUUCUUCCUGGAAAGCUGCAAAGAGUUGAUUACAAAGAACAGCUAGAGACAUUUAUGCAGCUUCAAGAAUAUACUGCAUAUUUCAAAAUGCAUACCAAACAGACUCUCUCUGGUGUAAUGAAUGUGCCACUCUGUGAACAUAUUGUGGGGGUUGUGGGGGGAAGAUAAUAAAAUGGCAUAUGCAAACAAGCUUACUCUUUAGGGUUUUGAAAUUAUAGUUGUGUAGUUUCAAAGAAGAAUGAGCCAGCCUCGCCUUACCAUGCAUGAAGAGGGCUGCAGAACAGCACAAUUAAAGUGAAACCAAGUUUUUAUAUUGUCCUUUACUCAGAAAACAAUCACCAACUGUCAUUUUUACUGCCACAUCUACAGGUUGAACAUAUGUACAUGCUGUUAUUGGAAAGGAUAAAAUUAUCACAACACUUUUGCCCAUGUAAACUGGAUUCCCUCGCGCAAUAAAUCAUUGAAAUUGGAUCAUUUUCCUUUCCUUUUUCUAGAACAUCUCCUAAUAGCAGGUGUGGGUAGGGGAGACUGAAAAGAGAAUGGCUUGAGUACUCUUUUUCCCUUUAAUGCAACUGACAAGAGUCACAUUUGCAGAAUAAAAGGCACCAACAACAAAAUGAUGCAUAAAGAGGAAAUAGCUUGGCUUUUUUGCUCCUGAUUUCACUGAUGUUGGUAGGAAAUAAGGCUGUCAUCCUUUAUAUCAUUACCUGGGAGUAAGUUCCACUGAAGUAAGUGAGGCUUACUUGUUUUGGGUUUCUAAACUGUUUAGUUCAUUUCUUACACCAGUACUUGGGAAGUCUCAAAGUAAUUUGCAGAACAAAGAAGUAAAAAUACAGAAAGUACAAUGUAUAUUAAAUACCCAUUAAAAGAACAACACCAUAGAAACAUAUUGCAGUGUUCACCUACCAAAAAUAAUCUAAAAAUUUAAAAUACUCGCCCCCACAACCCCCGCAUUCAACAAAAAAAUAAGCACCAGACAAUCACAAAAUCCCAGGCCACUAGUGCUGUUCAAAUGUCCAGGACACCAAAAAAGAUAAUGAUUAUUAUUGUUAUUAUUUAAUUAAAUUUAUAUAUCACCCUUCAUCUGAAGAUCAUAGGGCAGAUUACAGCAUAAAAAUACAAAAUGAAAACACAAAAUACAAAUGAUCAUAAUUUUUUUUUUUAAAAAAAGACAAUAACCUCCUCCCAUAAACACAUUUAAAAGGACAUAGACUGCUUAAUCAGCCAAAGGCCUGGUCAUAGAGGAAUGCUUUUACCUGGCGCCAGGUAAAACAUCCCCAAGGCAAGCAUUCUAUAACCAGGGGGCUACCACAGAAAAGGCGUUUUCUCCAGUCACCCACUCCAUUUCCUUGUGAAGUGAGACUAUUGGGGACAUACCUGUUUGUUUGCAAAUGUAUAGGUGGAGCAGAGGGAAAGCAAACAUGCGUACAUACCUGUUAAAUUCCCAAGUAGGGGCUGUUUUCAAAGGGAGCAAAAGUUUUCAUGAAAACACCAUUCAUCCCUGCUGUAAGUUAAAACAGAGGAGUUAAAGCCCUGCAUAAAAAGAGGGAGAGUAUUUUAUUAAAAGGCAAGAUGACACUUUUACCUAUAAUUUAAAGAAGUCAGAAAUCCUCACAAACAGCUGCAAGUGAAUUUGCCGCCAUCACCCUUCUUUCAUAUCAGGAGUAAAAAAAAAUUGUUUCGAAUAGGGAAGCUUGGGUUUUACGAAUGUUCAUCCAUCUACCUAUUAAAUUUAUACCCUGCCCUGCUUCCCAAAGGAGCCUAGGAAAGCAAGCCACAAGUGAUAAAGCAAUAAAAACUUCUUUACAACAUCUUUGUCCCAAGCUAUAUAUGGCUUUUCACAUCAAAACCAGCACCUUGAACUUAGUCCAGUAGCUCAUGGAAAGCUACCUGAUAAGGCUAAGCCAUCGUUAUGGCCAUUUUGCCCAAGCCAAGGAGUUAACAGCAUUUUUUUGGAAUGUGUCUGCCAGCUGUUUUUGAUUGAUUGAUUCAGUUUGUACUUUAUUCUAUUUUACCUGAGCUGUGAAAAAGUUUGGGUAAAUGUUUUACCACCACACCAUUAUUUGCAAUUUGAUACUAUUUAGUCUUCAGAGGCUGAAAUAAAUGAACACAUGAAAUGGAAAUGCAGCUCAGAGUAAACAGCAACCUAAGGUUUACACCCACUCUUUCUGAAGCCAAAGUUCCAUUUAAUAUGCUUUUGUCUAGAAGGUGUAAAUUAAAAAAGAACCCACAGUAAUUUAAUUUGCACCUUGCCAGAGUUCCUUGAAAUACAAUUUCCAUCCACUUAAACUGCACAGGAAUAGAUAAGUGUAAGAGAAUAUAACUGGGAAUUAUUCCUACAGAAAGGGAGGAAGACUUUAUAUAGAGAUAUAAUUCCCUGAGGAAUUCCAAAAAAACUUCAGUUUCCCAUACAUUUUCUAUCAAUAAUAGUUAAUAGAAUGUGGGCAGCCAUCUUUUCCCCAUACAGCUUCACUGGAAACCAAACUACAGUGGUACCUCGGGUUACAUACGCUUCAGGUUACAGACUCCACUAACCCAGAAAUAGUGCUUCAGGUUAAGAACUUUGCUUCAGGAUGAGAACAGAAAUCAUGCUCCAGCAGCGCAGCAGCAGCGGGAGGCCCCAUUAGCUAAAGUGGUGCUUCAGGUUAAGAACAGUUUCAGGUUAAGAAUGGACCUCUGGAACGAAUUAAGUACUUAACCCGAGGUACCACUGUACUCCAUCAUGUAGCCCUGUUCCCAGUGCUAUUCUUAAGAGAUUCUUAAACUAAUUUGAAGUCAACUACUGAAUACAGUAGCUUGCCAUUUUUUAACAUUUUUUUUUUGAAAAAAACCUUCUGACUGCUUUGUAAGUGGUGUGAUUUUUACAGAAACCCUACAAAGAUCAAAGAAAUUAUCUUCACUAGAGGACAAAGAUCUAGUGGAGGUGAGGUCAUGCGCUGCCCUAGUUUCAAGGAACCAAGAAUUAUUAUUUCAAUUAUCCCGAUAUCUCUGCUUAAAGACAAGCUCCACUAAGUAUGGAACCCGCAACAAACCCCUGACAUAUCUUGCUGACAACUUCCUCUUUCAGAAAAUGGAAGAAGAAGUACUCUGUGUGUAUGCAGUCUGGUUUGUAGCAGGAUUUAACUUGGUGGUAUAUUGGUUGCCAAUGAGGACAAUGUGGCACCUAUUGCCAUGAUUUGGGGCAAAGGGAGGCAUGGCCAAAUAGAGGGGGGCAAAUAUUCAGAGGAGGUUCCUCUUCCAUUGCUAAUCCCCCUGACUUGAUAGUGCUGCUACUGAAUGUCACAUUGGUUCAUAAGAAGACCUCAGUCAUACUCAGUCUCAGUCAGUUUUAUUGCACAUAGCCAAAGGCUGCCGCAAUGUACACAGAAUUAUUUGACAAUUAAAAGAAAAUAUACUGAAUUGGUAAAAAAAGACUUAAAACAUUUAUAUUAUUAAAACAUUACAUACUCUAAACAAAGCUAUAAAAGUACCCCAAUGUACAAAUAAAAACAUUAAACGAUAAAAUUCAUAAGCUAAAAUCAUCACAUGGUCACUAAUGUUAAAAACAAUAUCAAUUAAUACAGUGUGCAAUUUAUACUCAGAGUUUGGUGACAAAGAUAGAGCAUAGCCCAGGAUGCUUCACAGAACUUGCCCAGGAUGUCUCCCACAGCAUUGACAAGAAGGUGCUGCCAGAAUCUUGGUAAGUUAAAAAGUAGAGAAGUAAAAAAGGAAAAACUACUUCCCUGGGUGGCAGUCAACCCCAACUACAGUCCUGUUAUCAGCGGAGCUCCGAAGCCUGCCUACCAAGCCAAGUUGCUGAAUUGCAGCUUAUUGCCAAACUUAAAACCAUGGAGAGACCUGGUCUGAAAUAGAGACAUUGGAUUCUUAUCUCAUCAUACACAGCUUACUUGUGGAUAAAGAGACCAACCUGCCAUGGACCACCAAGACCUGGGUGGGUGAGUAACGUGAGCCUAAUCUCACUACUCUGCCCACCCAAGUACUCGGUGCAGCACUGUGGCAGACCAAGAGACCAUGUAUGUGUGUGCAUUGUCUCUGUGAUCCAUGGGACUUCUCUGCCACCAAGCAACUACAUCAAUUAGGAGUUGGACUGGUUGAGAGACAGGUUGGGGAUGCUGCAGGCAUAUUGCCCACUCUGCGGCUUAUAUCCUCCCUGCCUGAGCUGGCUGAGGCAGUCUUGAAUAUGGUACCAAAGACUAUUGUUCUCAGGGGCUUCAACUGACUUUGGAGUGAGGAGCCUAUGACCCUCCAGAUGUUGCUGAAGUAUAAGUCCCAUCAGCCCCAGCAAGCAUGGGAGCUGUAGUUCAGAAACAUCUGGAGGGCUAAGGGUUCUCCACCUCUGCUGUAUUUCCUCUGCUUGGCUCUCACUUUCCUAAGCCAUCUACAUCACACAUCCUCAGACAAAAUCCCACUCUGACCAACUGUGGCUUGAAAUCUGCCUUUUAAUCUCCAAACAGGGUCUCUCUCCAGCCAAUCAUUCACCCCCACCACACCCUCAUCAGGUCAAAUCUCUGCUCCAAUGGGAUAAGGCAGAAUACCCACUGACUGACCAAUUAGGUCUCACAAGUUUUCAGCCCACUGAAGAAAGAAACCUUGUUCCCAGAGCUACCUUUGUUUUGGCACAAUGUAACAUAUCAGUGAAAUGGAUUGGUUGAUACCCUCCUGCUGAUUCUUUGCAGCGCCACAGCUCUCAGAAGAAAGUCUAGUUCACGUACAGUUAGACCAUUUAUAUUCAGCUACAUAUGUCUGAUUCCCAUUACACAUGUUAAAAUAGACUUUACCUCAGAAAUGAAGGUUGUUUCUCCAAAGUGAUGUUGCCCCUGGCAUGAACCAAGACACUGAUAGAAGGCCCUUGACCUCUUUCUCUCCACCAUUAAUGGCAAGAGGAGCUUCUGUCAGAUUUCUCCCAUUACACACCUGAAUCAUAGGGCAAAAUGUGAAGAAAUGCAAGAUCUACUUAAAGGGAAAACUAUGAGUCUUGGUUAUGUUCAUGCCCACCUGCCUGGCAGACAGGAGGGUGGGUAAAAUAGCACCUUGCACAUGCCUAAAUCAGAGAAAGUAGCUGAGGUAGAUAAGAGCUUCUGCUGCAACCGGGGAGGUUAAGAGAAAUAUCGACUGUGUCUUGGAGUUUGCAGGUGAGGUGCAGAAUGAGGAGUGGCACUGCCUUAGGAUGGAGAUCAGAGAGAAAAUUUCUGUGUGCCACUUUGAAUCCAAAGGGUACCAGUUGUCCAGUCCUAUUGUAUUGAGCCAGCUCUCUAUAAGUGCUCUUUCUACUGUAAGUCCUCCUUCGCUGGUGCAGCAUGUCUUAGAACAGGGGUCAGCAAACUUUUUCAGCCGUGGGCCAGUCCACUGUCCCUCAGACUUUGGGGGGGGGGGGUGGACUAUAUUUUGAAAAAAAUAAAAACGAAUGAAUUCCUAUGCCCCAGAAAUAACCCAGAGAUGCAUUUUAAACAAAAGGACACAUUCUACUCAUGUAGAAACACCAGGCAGGUCCCACAAAUAACCCAGAGAUGCAUGUUAAAUAAAAGGAUGACAUAUUCUAUUCAUGUAAAAACACGCUGAUUCCUGGACUGUCCACGGGCCAGAUUUAGAAGGUGAUUGGGCCAGAUCUAGCCCCCGGGCCUUAGUUUGCCUACCCAUGUCUUAAAAUCACACUAAAUUAUCACUGCCAAACUCUAAAUGUGAUUGUGCAAACAUCAAAAAAAUAAUAUUUUUUUAAAAAUAAUCAAAGAAGUGGAGAAAAUGGGCUUAUAGAUUACCAACUCAACCCCCAGCUCUGGGGCUCAUUGUGGGUAGAAAUAUUCCCUUACUGAUUCAGUCAGCUAUCUUGGCACAUUUUAUUUUCUGAGCUUUUACUACUUUGUUACUCACCAGCCCUCUUUGUUUUCAUAGCUGCAUCAUCAUUUCAUCUGCCCGUAGCUGCCAGCCAAAUUGCUACAUAGAAGUGGUAAAACUGAUUGCUCUUAUGAUUGUUUUCUGGGCAGAAAACAGAAGAGACUAUGACUAAUAGCUUUCCCUGGUAACUUACUCUAUUAAUAAUAAUGUUUUGAAUUGAUUUCGUAUGUUAAUCAUUUAAUAAUGUGCUGUGAUUUGGGUCGGGUUUUCCCAAGCCAUGCCCAUGAGCAGCACAAGAACAUACAUGCUGACAUGUGCACACACAAUUAUACAUUAAUAGAUCUGUUUCCAGAUUCUCUGUGAGCUAGUUAAACAGGGUUUUAGUGGCACUUUUAAUGAAACCAGGGCACAUUGCAUUACACACGGAGUGAUUAAUGACCUUGCUUCUAAAUGGCUUCCACAGCAACAAAAUGCAUUAAAAGGGCAUUAAGGCGAGCAAAACUGAAAACAAAACAAAAAGCUUGAAAGGGAAAACAAUGUCUUGCUGAGUUCAGGAUGCAUAAAGGCCUUUGCACCUAAAUCCAAUGGGCUUCUAUGAAAAGAAUCAAACACACUAGGAUCUGCCGCAAGCUAGUGUGUGCGUGUCUCUGUGCCUAUCUGCCUUGGAGAUUGUAGAAGCAUAGAGUUGAACCCCCUGCAGUCCAACCCCCUGCAAUGUAGGAAACCUGCCCACAGACAUCCCUGGGUGGACUUGAACCAUCAACCUUCUGGUUAACAGCCCCACGUAAUGACCCAUUGUGCUACAGGACAGAUUCUAAAACAGGGUUACUUCACAUUAUCUCUUCUUCUUCUUCUUCUUCUUCUUCUUCUUCUUCUUCUUCUUCUUCUUCUUCUUGUCAAGUAUCUAGCCCUUUCUGCUAGAGAGACAUGAGAGGAAAUGUGCAAACAAAAUUCCAUCCAACCCCUCCGCAAAGAAUGGGAGUGGGGGAAUCUGCAAAGAGGUCUUCAGAACAGUUCCCAGUGUUUCUUGGGGAUAUCUCCAAGCAAUUGUGCAUAGCAUUGUGCUGUUAGUCUUCUUCCUUUUAUGUUAAUUUAGCAUAUGUAGUAGGGCGGUUCAUAAAAAAAAAAAAUUGUUAAAAAAUGUCUGCUCCAAAGGUCUUACCUUUCUACACUAGGGAUUAUAUAGCUAUACAGUGGUACCUUGGGUUAAGAACUUAAUUCGUUCUGGAGGUCUGUUCUUAACCUGAAACUGUUCUUAACCUGAGGUACCACUUUAGCUAAUGGGGCCUCCUGCUGCCACUGCGCUGCCACCACACGAUUUCUGUUCUCACCCUGAAGCAAAGUUCUUAACCCAAGGUACUAUUUCUGGGUUAGCGGAGUCUGUAACCUGAAGUGUCUGUAACCUAAAGCAUCUGUAACCCGAGGUACCACUGUAUCUGAAAUUCCAUGCUUAUCAGUUAAUAUCUUGACCCUGCUCCACUGAAUUGAAAUUUCAGCCUUCACGACAUAGGGAAACGGCCAAGUAAACAGCUAUUUUUGUGGAGGAGGGUCAAGAUAUUAACUGAUAUGCCUGGAAUUUCAGAUAUAGCUAUAUAAUCCCUAGUGUAGUAAGUUAAGACCUCUGGAGCAGGCAUUUAAAAAAAAGGGUUUUAUGAACCGCCCUAAUAUGUAGGGAUAUAGUGAGGAACAUGAACAUUCAGACAUUGGAGAUCUCACCCGCAGUCCAACAUGCAACAGCCCAGAUGAUGAUUUAGCAUCUAAAUGAGAACUAGACUUCUGUCAGCGUGUAAAGCUGAUUUGAAGCACAGUGGUUGAUCCCUGACCUCCCCAAAAUGGUGUUUCUGCAUUCUAACUCUAUAGAAAAAGGGAAAGGAAAGAGCAAAUGUAGCCAAUAAACAGAAAAUAUGUAGGGCUCCUGUUCUGGGGCUAUAAUAUGUAUUUUCUUUCUUUUUCUGUUUCCUUCUUUUUUAAAAAAAGAAUACAGUGCAAAAUGGGUUGCAAAUCAGUUUCAAAAGUCCUGAAAUGUUGGUGGAACUUGCGUUAUUGGCAUAUCUGGAAUGCUGUUUUAUGAGGCAACCCUCAGCCAUCCAUCAGUCAUCAAGAGGGAUAUAUAAUUUUCGACUGCUUAAAGAGAGAGAGAGAAAGAGAACUCCUUUUUUCCCAAUCUCAAGAGAAUGUAAAACAUCGAAACAUAAUUGCUAAGCAAGUGACGUUUUAAAGAGAUGCACUGUCUGUGUGGCAAAGUGUAUGGCUGUAAAGAAUUAAAAGAUAAUAAUAAAAACAAAGCCAGCUGAAAAAGCAGCCAGGCAGCCACCUGACAACAGUUGAAAUAUAGCAUAAUUCUGACUACAUAAUUAGAGGCUGGCUUUCUGAAAAGAUAAUUCAGAGAUCUUUCAGAACCUCCGAGGGUUUGAAGCAAAUAUUCAAGGCAAGCUGGAACUGGGUGAAGCUUUAUUUCUGCAAGGCUGGAAGGUAAUAGGAAGUCCUCUAAAAUAAAGGUCGCCAACUUCCUGCUUCUUUGCAUGCUGAAUCUGAAACAAUGGUUUGAUCAACUGGACACUUCCAUCCAAGCCUGAUCCUCAAGAAUCUGAAUACGGGCUACAACUUCAAUAAUAUUUACCUGGCAAGGGAGACUCCUUGAUUAAGAAGGCAGUUUUCCCAUCCCUUGCACUGUGGGAGUGCUGACCCCUGAAAUUUCUCCAAAUGCAGAAAACUCGACUGCAUAAUAAUCUUUAUUCUUUGCUUUUACUAUGUACAGUGGUACCUCGGGUUGCAUACGCUUCAGGUUACAGCCGCAUCAGGUUGCGUGUCGAGGUCCCCAAGCCACCCCCCAAAUAACUCACAAUGCACACUUAAUUUUUGUUUAAGGUUUUUGGCAUAAUUUUGGGCACAACUUUAUUUAAAUACAAAACCGUGAGUGGUUGUUUAGGCAUUGGUUAAGACUAUCUGUCCCCCCGCCUGGGGACAGAACUGACUUCCGGGCACCACCGAAAGACAUUGAGGGAAAACAAGUCGGGGAGAAAUGGAGCUGAGUCACAGACCCUCAAUUCUCAUCCGAAUGCUCCCCGAAGGCUUGCCGGCCCUAGUCCCAUUCCAGGGAUUGGACGAAAAGAUGGCAAGCCCCAGGAUUCCUUUAACGGAAUUCCCUUUCCGCAGCAACCAUGGAGGGGCAGGCCCAGCCUAUCCUAACCCCUCCUCCACCAAUUUAUAACCAAUGCCUAACCGCAACCUUACAAGUUGUGAUGAUUUGCUACGCAGUAGGCAAAAACCAAAUGGCCCAGCCAAUCAGCCAGAUGGACAAAAUUCCUACCAGGCCCCUGCCCCAACGGCAGACGACCCCAUGACAGGCAUAGCAAGGUCAAAGCGAACAACCCCUUACUCAAGGGCGGGUGGGCGGGUGAUCCGUUGCACGCAGCAAAGAGAAAGCUCCAGGCUGCGUGCAGAGUAUUUAAACAUUUUACCCCUCCCACCAAAAUUGCAACAUAACUUUUACCCCAGCAACCCAGUGAACCAAUCACUGCCCCAGGCCAUCUUUAGAGACCCUGCCUGGUAACAGAGGGGUGGCUCAGCAGACCCCACCGCAACACGUGCUCUCCAUGAAGGAGAACACGCUUUACAGACUCUGCUAACCCAGAAAUAGUACCUCGGGUUAAGAACUUUGCUUCAGGAUGAGAACAGAAAUUGUGUAGCGGUGGCGUGGCGGCAGCUGGAGGCCCCAUAAGCUAAAGUGGUGCUUCAGGUUAAGAACAGUUUCAGGUUAAGAACGGACCUCCAGAACGAAGUGCCGUAUUUUUCGCUCUAUAAGACACACCAGACCAUAAGACACACCUAGUUUUUGGAGAAGGAAAACAAUAAAAAAAAUAUUCUGAAUCCCAGAAGCCAGAACAGCAAGAACAGCUGCACAGUGAAAGCAGGAUAGCUGCGCAGCCUGCAUUUGCUCCAUAAGAUGCGCACACACUUCCCCUUACUUUUUAGGAGGGAAAAAGUGAGUCUUAUAGAGCAAAAAAUACGGUAAGUUCUUAACCAGAGGUACCACUGUACUGUGUUUUGUGUAUGUAUGUGUGUGUGUGUAUAUAUAUAUACAUAUAUAUAUAUAUAUAUAUAUAUAUAUAUAUAUAUAUAUAUAUAUAUAAUGUUGUGAACCAUCCUGAGAUCUAUGGGUAUUGGGCAGUAUACAAAAUUUUAAUAAUAAUAAUAAUAAUAAUAAUAAUAAUAAUAAUAAUAAUAAUCUAGUUUCUUUUCAGCUCCAUCUAACUCAACCUUCUCUAUGCAAGUAUCAUCCAUGUUGCCUUCAUGGUUGUUCCAACUGAUUCAAGUACAUUUAGGUAAGUUCUACAAGGAAGUUGGAAGAAUAAAGGUGUGCUGCUUCUACUGUACCUGUAUGCCAUAAUUAGGGUGAUAACUUUCACCCAGGCACAUUUGGGUCAUCCGGUGAAGGCUGUGCCUGUGCUCUGGGGAUGGUUUGGUCUGCCUAGGAAGUUCUUGCUUUCCAGCCCCUGGGUCUUCCUCUCAGUGCCCCCCUGCCCCCUUCAGCCCCUGUUUCCCACUCUCAACUGAGGCUAGGGAUGAAUCAGUAAUGUUGAUGUGAACCAAUCUAAGUUGCAAUUUGCAACAAUGAGAAAAAAUGAAACGAAACACCACUAUCCUUCAAAAGUCAAACUUCUACGGAGUUUGUGCUACAGCAUUCCAUUCACGAAAGCAUAACAAAAAAUGUAUAUUAAUGCAUGAAGUAGGGGAAAUAGUAUACAAAAUGCAUUAUGUUAUGGAAAUUUGCUUGCGAAAAUGUUAGUGGUUUUUUUUUUUUUUUUUUUAAAAAAAGAUGCAAACUGAUGUAGAAAUGUGAUGUGCUGAACUAGACUUGAAAAAUGAGGAACUGAGAUAAAUUGAAUUUGACAGAUUCAUCCAUCCCUAAUUGAGAAAUAUAUUUCUGAAGACCUCCUGGGGGCUACCAAGACAUUGGACAGACAUUCUUCCAACAGCACAGCCACCUAAAUGUUGACAAGAAACAUUUAUUGGAGAAUUAUGAACCUCGGGGGAUGGAAGAGAUCCCCCAUUAAGGAAAACUAAAGACAAAUUUGACAUCCUUGGGUAUUCUGAAAAUUUGUGUGCAACAUUUUAAAGUUUGACACUACUGGUUCUAGUUUAGAUGCACUUCUCAAUCUUCUCCUUAAUAGAUAGAUGCUUCUACAUAACUUUGGUAUUUAUUGAUGCCCACAACUCUUUCUAAACUUUUGAAAGCUAAAUUACUAAGCCAUCAACCUUGUUAAGAGGAAUGUCAUUUCUGAAAAGGCCAGAUUUAUUGGGAGCUUGGAAGAAAUACAGCCUCCUGGUUGUUCUUUCUUUUCACUGCUGCUUCUCUCUCUCUCUCUCUCUCUCUCUCUCUCUCUCUCUCUCUCUCUCUGUUUUAAUGAUGUUAAUAUUUUGAAAGGUUGCAGAGUUAAUAAAUAUGAUGAAUUUUCCAAGUCUUAUGAAAACUCAGCGUUUCCCUCAAAAUUCACCAGGCAUGACAUUUGGAAAAGGUGGCUAUAUUCAUGUACAUCAGGGACACCUAACUCCCAAGAGGCUGCUAUCUACUCAAAGAAUAAAAAAAUGGCAGUGAUCUACCCAUUUUGGGGGGGCAGGGUACAGGUCAAAAUAGUGGAGCUUUUCUUAGAAGGGAACAGUAAAUACUUAUGCUGCUUUGGGGGGGGGGGGGUUGCGGCAAAAAAUGAUAAACAAUAAGUCAUCCCGCCAGCGUAAACUCCAUAUUCAAUUCUUGAAAUCGUGCACGGAUAAAAGAAAGAUGGAGGGGCGGGGCCAAAUGCUCCUCCCCCCCCCCACGGGUGAAAAUAAGCCUGCAAUUGACUUAUAACAACGGGGGCCAACCUGUCGAUUGCAGUCGACCUGUUGGACAUCCCUGAUGUACAUUAAUAGUUUUAUCACAUCAUAACACUUUCAUAAAGGUAAAGGUAAAGGGACCCCUGACCAUUAGGUCCAGUCGUGGCCGACUAUGGGGUUGCGGCGCUCAUCUCUCAUCUUGCUUUAUUGGCCGAGGGAGCCGGCGUACAGCUUCUGGGUCAUGUGGCCAGCAUGACUAAGCCGCUUCUGGCGAACCAGAGCAGCGCAUGGAAAUGCCGUUUACCUUCCCGCCGGAGCGGUACCUAUUUAUCUACUUGCACUUUGACGUGCUUUCAAAUUGCUAGGUUGGCAGGAGCAGGGACCAAACAACAGAAGCUCACCCCAUCGUGGAUUCGAACCGCCGACCUUCUGAUCGGCAAGCCCACCCGCGUCCCAACACUUUCAUGGUAUCAACCAAAUCACAUGGGUUGUCAGCUGACAUAGCCGUGAAGACAUGCAAAGUUAAAGAAAGUGAGCCCCCCCCCCCCAAGUAAUAUGGUGUCAAGAAGAUGGAGAGGCUAGUGGGUCAAAAUGGAUUAAAACACCCUGAAUUAGUUUUCAAUAAGUGCUGAAAAAGUACCAAACUGGAAUUUUUAGAUACUCACAAAAAUGAUCACCAUACUAGGAAGUAGCAGCAGUAGCGUGCUUCCUGGGAAACCUCCCCUUCCCUUUCCUUGUUUAGUCCAUUCUGUGGAAAGUGAAGGUACAAGCUCUGCCAUAGUUUGUUUAUAUGAAGGAACCAGGAUUUUAAAUAUACACUCACAAAAUUAUUUUACUUCAGAAAACAGGACUUUUGUGGCUCUGUUUCUCAGGGGGGUUACAUGACGUGUCAUUGGUAAGGAAACAAACAGAGGUGUGAAAAUAGCAUUUUAAUGCAUUUUUUUCUGCUAAUAAAUAAUAGCCACAAUAGCCAGAGUGGCUCCAGGGACCAGACACACAAGAAAGUGUUGGCGACAGAAAGGAAUGAAACUGUGGAAUUCUCAUCACUCUCAAGAAUUGUGGUCUUUUCUAUGAACACCUGUUCAGGGCAUGCUCUUUCUAUUCUACAUAUUCCUUUUAAACUAUGAGCACAACACAUGAUUUUAUUUCAUAAGCAAAUACUUCCUGUACAACUGACUAAAGUGUUAAACUUUGCUAGAGCAAAUCACAGCUGCUUCUGGUUUCAUCAAUUUCAUUCUUAAAAGAAUAACACAAUUUUUUUCUCCAGGAGUGGAAAGAACAAUGAUUUAUUUAUUUAUUUGUCAAUUUAUCAUACUCAUUUCAUAAAACAUAACAAGGCAGCUUACAACAUUUAACAUGCAGAAACCCCACUGGGGUGUGUGUGUGUGUGCAUGUCCUACCUAUCUAUUUACCUAUCUAUCAUAAUGAAAAACAUCAGUAUACAUAAAAUAUUGUAAUGCCAAGGAAGAUAAUGUUGGGUGUUGCUCUCUCUUGAAGCAACACUCUGCUUACACAGGUUUGGAGGGUCUACUGAUAAAUGGAAAUUAAAAGAUUUUCAGCUUUCUUUAAUUUGCAUAGUUGAUAGACGCAAAUAUGUCUGUCCAUCACCUUUGGGGAGAAGAGUCCCUGAAAAAUGCCUGGGGGCUGGAUGAAAUGAAGCAGAUUGCUGCAUCUCAACCUCAGGCUGGUGGCUUUCAUAAGGCUUUGACAAAGUAGCAGAACUAAAACCCAGUCUCCUCUUCUAAGAAGCCUGUGCUCUUAAUUUAAAUUUGUGGGAGGGAAAGAGACAAUAGAUUAAGAGAAGGGAGGGAUAGGCCAAGGGAUGCAAGGGAUAAUAGGAGAAAAUACCAUUCUUUUGAAGACAGCGUCUUAAAAAGCAGAGGCACCACCUUGCCGACAAAGGUCCGUAUAGUUAAAGCUAUGGUUUCCAUGUAGUGAUGUCUGGAAGUGAGAGCUGGACCAGAAAGAAGGCUGAUGCCGAAGAAUUGAUGCUUUUGAAUUAUGGUGCUGGAGGAAACUCUUGAAAGUCCCAUGGACUGCAAGAAGAUCAAACCUAUCCAUUCUGAAGGAAAUCAGCCCUGAGUGCUCACUGGAAGGACAGAUCCUGAAGCUGAGGCUCCAAUAUUUUGGCCACCUGAUGAGAAGAGAAGGCUCCCUGAAAAAGACCUUGAUGUUGGGAAAGAUUGAGGGCACGAGGAGAAGGGGAGGACAGAGGACGAGAUGGUUAGACAGUGUUUUCAAAGCUAACAACAUGAGUUUGACCAAACUGUGGGAAGCAGUUGAAGACAGGAGUGCCUGGCGUGCUCUGGUCCAUGGGGUCAUGAAGAGUGGGACAUGACUAAACAAAUAAACACCAACAAAUGUUACAGGUGCUUAAGUGUCAGUCUAGCUAAAGACUAAGGGGUUAAGUCAGCGCUUUUAAGAAACCAACAACCUUUUGAACUUGGGAAUCUCCAUUCCAGACAUCUUCCACAUCUACCCCCCCCCACCUGCUCUGCAUUAGAACAUGAAGAAGUCCUUGCACAAAACCACAUUCAUCACAUUCACCACUCUGAGGUUUUUCUAUGAUCAAGCAGUAUUUAAAUUUUAGGAAAGUUUUGUAAAGUUAAAAUAUGGGAAGGCGGCUUAUGUGGAAAACAUAAACAACAUUCACAACACAUAACAAAAAGUAAUAAAAUUAAAAGAAGAUGUAAGGCGGUGGAGAGAAGUCACAAUGGUAGGAAUAAGGAAAAUACACACACACACACACACACACACACACACUGGAGUACUGAAAACAGUUACAAUUUGGAAUGUGCUGUUAAGAAUGUCUAAACGUGUAACUGAAUGUAACAAUGUAAAAUAAAAUUGAAAAUAAUGGGAAAAAUAUUAGAUAAAUUUGAUAAAUUUGCAGAUAUUAAUACUGCACAGCAUAACAACUGACUCAUUGUCCAGGCCCAUAAAAAUAUUCAAAUUUUACCAGCAGAAGUCUUCAAAAUACAAAACAUAAGCAUCAACAAUGCAUCCCAAAAUAUCCAUACAGUAUCUUGUGCUGUCCAGCACAGGCUGAGCGACUUAGAAAUAAAAGAUAAUUCAAAAUAUCCAAACUGACUCUCUCCCCCAUUCCAGCCUGCUUUAGCCUGUCUCUAGCCCCAGGUUAUUACAGCUCUUAGGGAGCCAUUAUCUCUUUCCUUCUUCUUUCUGUCACUUCAGAGGAACUGAAACAGGCUACUCCCUUUAGAAUGGAGAUUUGCAACUCAAUACCUUCAUCACAUGAUCUAAGAUUACAACACCCAUGUGUUGGCUACCAGAGAGAAACAAUCAGAUACUUAAUCAUUAAUCCAUUAAGGAGUCCUUUGGAAAACAAAAUUGGGAAAACCCCAUUGUUAGCAACUCUUCAGCUAUACACAUUUAGCCACUUUCCAUUUCAAACCUUCAUUAAUAUGCAUACAUUUCAUUUCAGUGUGAAUUAAAUUGAUUAUAGAAGUAUAAGCCUUGGCUGGGGAGGGCGGGGUAUAAAUAAAUUAUUAUUAAUAUAAAUAAAUUCACAUAGGCUAAAUACAAAGGCCUGGGGCUUGGGUGCUAAUCCAUCACUGGUUUUAGGAAAAGAAGGCAGACACCCAUAUAACCCCUUUCCAAAGUCAUAAUGUGUAGCAGUUUGCAUAAGAGACUGCAGCAGCAAAAAACGCCAAAUAAGUCUAUAGCACAGGCAAUGAUAAUCCUCCAAUUUUGCCUCAGAGGCCAUGAAAAACUAGACCCAGCUUUUGCUCCAAGUGUAGAAGGAGAUCUAGUUUUCACUGAAGUGGGAAACUUAAAUCUAGUCUCUACCGCUUCAGACUGAAUGCUCUACUUCAUUCAGCACAAAGUGCUUAGCACACACAGCAGCUUCUAGAGUUGCAGCUGUAUUGGAAAACAAUCAUAUCAGCGGAAAACUAGGCUAAAGCCCUGCUACCUGGCAGGCUAGCUGUCUGUGUACAUGAACCCUUUGAGUACAGAGGGGCAUUCAGUUGUGCGAGGACCAUAAAGUGUGAUAAGACAUUACUGUUGAGAGAGAGGGAGAGAGAGAGAGAGAGAGAGAGAGAGAGAGAGAGAGAGAGAGAGACAGAGAAGUCAGCACAUCCAACUUGGCUUGUCCAAGUCAUGGGAUGUAGCCGGAGUGGCUCUCUGGAUCUUGCUCAUGCUUUUGUGCUUCACCACAAAGCACAUCUGGUUUCCUUCCACUGGGUCUAUUUCAUCACCUUUUAAAGAUGCAAAAUUAAGGAAGAAACUGUGUCCUUUGGGGACAGGCAAAUUACCCGUGGAAAAUCUGAUUCAUCUUCAUUUUCUGUCCUCUGUGGAAUACAAGCUUAAGGGAACAGCCAAUAAUCAACUUGGGAACCAUGAUGCUUUGAGCUAAUCAGUUCAUUUUGUUUUCCCAUUUAAACAUAAUUGUGCUCCCUCAACAACAGCUAAGGGGAGAAAAUUAAUCACUUGACACAGAAAACUACACGGAGUGGCAUUAGUUAGAAUUGUAUUUGUUUCCCCGUGGAUCCUGAAGAAUAGAUGGUGUACAUUAGCUGUGAAGUACUUGUUCAAGGCAUGCCGUUCCACGCCUAGAUGAAACCUGUUGAUGGGCCAAAGGGCAUAUUCCUUCAGGAGCUAUUGAAAAUAGCUAGCAGUUGAGACCUCCCUUGAUUUGCCCUGCCAGAGUAUGUUUUUAAAAGUCUGGCAUCAAGUGACACGUGAAUUUGUUUAUUUUAAAAUGAGAAGGAACACUUCACCUUGACCUCAAGAAAGGGAUAUUGCUACUACUAACAGGAGGAGAAAAAGUAGAAACUGCUGCUUCCUAACUCCUAUUGGUGGUAAUCCCGCAGGGACUGUUUCUAUCUGGCAGCCAACAUUAUUUGUGGCGGUUGCCAUAUUUCUCCCCAGAACAAGUGGUUAAGAGCAGUGGACUCGUAAUCUGAACCAGGUUCGAUUCCCCGCUCCUCCACAUGCAGCUGCUGGGUGACCUUGGGCUAGUCACACUUCUCUGAAGUCUCUCAGCCCCACUCACCUCACAGAGUGUUUGUUGUCGGGGAGGAAGGGAAAGGAGAUUGUUAGCCACUUUGAGACUCCUUCAGGUAGUGAUAAAGGGGGAUAUCAAAUCCAAACUCUUCUUCUUCUUCUAUAUCCAGGACAUUUGCAGGGAAAGAAAAUGGCAGCAGCAAUUUCACUGCAGCCACACUUUUGGUAGCACGGAAAAAAACAAAACAACCCCCCCCCCAAAAGCAACACACACACGUGUGUGUGUGUGUGUGUGUGUGUGUGUGUGUAAAUAUAGAUAGAUAGGUGGUAUCAUGGCUAUUGCCACACAUCAAACGUAAACAUAACCUAUGUGAACCUCUAAUGAAAUCUCACAGACUUCCACUGACUUCAAGCUGAAAAGGGCUCUUGAACUUAAAUGGCCUUGAGUUCUUCUCUGCCUUAAAAUUUAUAUCUGAGCUGAAUAAAAUCCCACACUUUUCUCACCCUCCCUCAUAAAUAUUCAUCAGCAUUUAGUGUGAAUUUCUCCUAAUAUUUUUGUAUGUAAUUUUCCUUAUAUACACAUUUUGGCAAAGCAAUUGUCCUGAUACAAUACAGUUUUGUAUGGCAUUUUCACUGAUAUUUGUAGGAACACUUUACCCAAUAUAUGCAUUUUUUUUUACAUGUUUCUUAUCAGGAGAACUGCAAUGCAAAACUCGGAUAAGUCUAAACUUUGAAUAAUGCUUGGGUUUCCGAAAGUGUGCCUUUAAAUGUGAACUGAGUAUCUCCCUCAUCUUUACUUUCAGUUACCAACCAACAAUACCCUAGAAGAAGAAGAAGAAGAGUUUGGAUUUGAUAUCCCGCUUUAUCACUCCCCUUCAGGAGUCUCAAAGCGGCUAACAUUCUCCUUUCCCUUCCUCCCCCGCAACAAACACUCUGUGAGGUGAGUGGGGCUGAGAGACUUCAGAGAAGUGUGACUGGCCCAAGGUCACCCAGCAGCUGCAUGUGGAGGAGCGGAGACGCGAACCCGGUUCCUCAGAUUACGAGUCUACCGCUCUUAACCACUACACCACACUGGCUCUCUACAGUCUUUCUCCCUUGACAUCCAUAGUAGUCAUUGGGAACACUACCUUUUCAAGGCCAGUUGCAUUUAGUGCUUUAUUACAGAGCACACCAGAAGACAGAGAGAGACUUUCCUCCUUUCUGUCACUUCUCAGAGUCUCAGCCAGAAAAGUGGGAGGCUGGAUUAUUGUUUGAAGGUAAUUGGGGAAGGGACUUGUAGAGGUGAGAGAGGCAUUUGAAUCAGAUCCCAUUACGGCUGUGCUCUAUGUUCAGCUAAAGCCUGAGGGGCUUUGGCCAAGUUGGGUGGUGACAACCCUGGAUCACCCCAGGUCAAGUAGCCCACAAUGAUCUGUGGCUGUCAGGGGGAGGAUGCCAAAUGGAAGAAUGCAGAGGUUUUCUCAAAAGGGAGUAUCAAACCCUUCACUCAUUAGCUGAGCAGAGGAUUCAAACCUGUGGAGUGCUCUGCAGGAUUUACUCCCAAUUCCUCCUCCCCAAGGCCAUUUUGUGGCUGGUUUCCAAGGUCCUAUUGCCACAGCAACCACCCAGGCCAACCACCAUCCACAGUCAAGGAGAAGUGAGUGAGGAGCCAUAGCCAACAAAUAGCCAUGGCUUGACCCGGAGUCUUCCAUGGAGACUUUGCCACCGCUGGAGGAAGGCCUGGGUGCUGUGGCAAUGGGGCUUGGGAAUGGGCUGCCUGAUUGGAAGGUGCUUGUGGGAGAGGAGUUGGGAUUCAAUCUUGUGAGAUACUCCUUGCAGCCAACAAGUCUAAUACCUCCUGCUCUUGGUUGGGAGAUUAGGCACUGAAAACCCAAAUCUCACAAAUGGAGUGGUUAGUCCCUCCCUAAGUUGGCUCAAUUCUAGAUCCUCUCACUUCCCAGUCAGUACAAUGGGGUAUCAAGUAGAUUGGCCUGGAUGAAGCCCAGCUAUUUUCUGAUGGGGGGGGGAUAGCUUGGUUUAAUCCAACCUGAGCCUAUUUUAUGGCAUGUACCAAUCACUAAUAAUAAUAAUAAUAAUAAUAAUAAUAAUAAUAAUAAUUUUUUAUUUAUAUCCCACUCUCCCCAGCCAGAGCUGGGCUCAGAGCAACUAACAACAAUAAAAUAAUACAGCAUUCUAAAAUCAAUUCAUUAUAAAAUCAGUUCAAAUCAAAUUAAUGGCAACCAUUGGGCUAGAGUUCUGUGAAGAUUACCAAAGGAGGGGGUCAGGCUGUGUCUUGGCCUGGUGGAACAGCUCUGUCUUGCAGGACCUGCAGAAAGAUGUCAAAUCCUGCAGGGCCCUAGUCUCUUGUGACAGAGAGUUCCACCAGAUUGGGGCCACAGCCGAAAAAGCCCUGGCUCUGGUUGAGGCCAGCCUAACCUCCCUGUGGCCCAGGACCUCCAGGAUGUUUUUGUUUGAAGACUGUAAGGUCCUCUGUGGGACAUACCAGGAGAGGCGGUCCCGUAGGUACGAGGGUCCUAAGCCGUAUAGGGCUUUAAAGGUUUAAACCAGCACCUUAAACCUGAUCCUGUACUCCACCGGGAGCCACUGCAGCUGGUAUAGCACCGGAUGAAUGUGAUCUCACAGCGAAGACCUCGUAAGGAGUCUCGCUGCGGCAUUCUGCACCCGCUGGAGUUUCUGGGUCAGUCUCAAGGGCAGCCCCACGUAGAGUGAGUUACAACAAUCCAGUCUGGAGGUGACCGUCACGUGGAUCACAGUGGCUACAAUGAUACAAAAUAAAUGCAUAUGGAAAUGUACUCUUAACUGAGGCUCUAAAACUAGGUGUUCUUUUGAAGCGGCCACAUUUGACUCAUCAAGAAAGAUCUUCUUUUGCUCCAGCAACAGCUGGAAAGAUGACUGUCAGAGCCUGGGAGGUCUGCCUGAUGUAUAGUAGGGGAUGGCCUUGCAGUUGAGCUGAUGGGAGGGAAGCAAAGAGAGCCAGGGCAGCAGGAGCCAAUUGGCUUGUCAUCAAGACAAUGGAAGCACAGGGCUGCCAAUUGUGAGGGAUAUCAGAGAAAUGCCAGUUGCCAGGCAAUGGAGGCAUGUUGCCCAGUCUCGUGAGACAUCAGCUGUCACAAAGCUGCUAGAGAGGAAACAGGAAGGAUCAGCUGUGGAGGAAACAGGAAGCUGAUAUCAGCUAAGAGGCAGCUGUAAACAUUGGAGAGUAUAUACCUGAUUUCUUACCAAUCUUUAGGGAAGUGUGGAGUUAUUAAAUAAUGAUGGUCAAAUGGCCCACCCUGUAAGCAUGACAGCUACUGAUUAGAAGAUUUAGAUGUAGUUAUGCAUCUCCUUUCUUUGUCUCCACAUUAUCUGCCAGCCUUGCAGAACAUUAAAAGCUGCACAGCCUCAUCCCUAAGCAAGGCUUGCAAGUUCAGUGCAGACUGGGGCGAGGGGGAGAGCAGGGAAAACAAAUACCUAUCUCACACACCACUGGCAGAGAACAAUGUGUCACCCCCAGAGGUAUUAAAAGUAAAGGAACCCCUGACAGUUAAGUCCCAUCGUGAACGACUCUGGGGUUGUGGCGCUCAUCUCGCUUUACAGGCCAAGGUAGCCGGUGUUUGACCGCUCCGCAUACAGUUUUUCCGGAUCAUGUGGCCAGCAUGACUAAGCCACUUCUGGCGCAAUGGAACACCGACACCAGAGCAGCACAUGGAAACACCGUUUACCUUCCUGCUGGAGCGGUACCUAUUUAUCUACUUGCACUUUGACGUGCUUUCGAACUGCUAGGUGGGCAGGAGCAGGGACCGAGCAAUGGGAGCUCACCCCGUCACAUGGAUUCGAACCGCCAACCUGUUGAUCGGCAAGCCCAAGAGGCUCAGUGGAGGUAUUACCCCUCCCCUAACACCCCAUGACAUAGGGAGGGUAACCCCAUCAAGAGCUGGCACUGGCGGAGGAACGGGGGGCGGGGGAGCGUACCGCCCCCAGCACCAUUGGGGAGGGGGGUACCAUCGCAGCCGCCCCAGGACACGUGCUGCACAAUUAUUAUUAUUAUUAUUAUUAUUAUUAUUAUUAUUAUUAUUCAAUACAAAAAGUCAUCAUAAAACAUACGUUCAAAAUGGAACAACUCCAUAUCAAAUAAAGUAACAUUCAAUAAUCCAGUUCUGAAAGUUUUCUCUUCUCCAUUGGGAAAUUAUGUGUGUCUACAGACUGUGGGAGUGUUGACAUCUGAGAACUGUCCUCUGCAAAAGGGAAGGGGUUUCUUCCUUGCUUUCUCUUUCCUUUGAAAUCUUUAUGUGUCCUUUAUAGCCAAAAGGCUGAGGAAGGAGCGCUGGGCAGGCUACAAUUUAACUACCCCUGGAAGCAGACCCAAGCGUCCCUGCUGGUUGGUUGGGCCCACCAUCAGGGGAACACCUGGCCAAAGCCUGCCGGUAUUGGCCAAAUAGCUGGUAGGUGGACGAUCCAACCUGGCAUUUGUUGGCUCACUUGGUGUGGCCUGAGACCUGGUCACAACACUGCCCACCGUGGAAGGUGACCAGACAUUCAGUCUUAUUAAUAUUUUAGCUAACUUUAAUCCUUGGCUAUUGUGGCAUGUAUUGUAUGACCACAUCCUAUAUGUUUGUAUUUUUCUACUUUAUCAUAAAAAGUUAUUUUAGUACAGAAACAUAAAAAGAAAGGGAAGACAAUUGUUCCUUCUGCUUCACUACAUUUCUCUGUAAAUUUAAAAAAUAAUGUUUACCUUGGCCAUGGAAGGAGACAGCAGCUUCUACCCAGCAGUACAGGAAAAAUAAAAAUGGCUUGAGUUGGCAAAGCAAAUUACAGUUUGUUAAUACUGAAUCUCCAAAAUGUUUCAUGUCUGUUGCUGCUAUCUUCUCUUAGGAAUGAAUGGAACAUACUAGUACAGAUGAUUGGGUGAGCUUGUUUGCAACAGCUGCGUGCGAAGUUGCCAAAUCUGAUUUUAUGUUAAGAAAGCUCAAACACCAAAUGUCCUGAUGCGCAUUAGAAUUCAUUUUCCUUCUCAGAAAAGGGCACCUGAGUCGUGGAAAGAAGCAUACAUUACACUUAUACCAAAAUCAGAGUCCGAAAAGACGCAACUCAAAAACUACCGUCCCAUAUCACUGCUUAAUGUGGAUUAUAAAAUUUUUGCAGAUAUCUUGGCUAAAAGAUUAAAAAAGGUGCUAGCAGAAGAAAUCCAUAGAGACCAAGCGGGCUUUCUCCCGGGCAGACAUUUGUCUGAUAAUACGAGGAAUAUAAUUAAUAUUUUAGAAAAGUUACAAGUGAAGAUUAAUACUAAAGCAGUUUUGAUUUUUGUGGAUGCGGAGAAAGCCUUUGAAAAUAUUUCUUGGAGCUUUAUGAAGAAGAAUUUAUUGGGGAUGGGGGUUGGUAAAAGUUUUGGAAAUGGUAUAGGUGCAAUUUAUUCAGAACAAAAGGCCAAAUUAAUUGUGAAUAAUGUAGUGACGGAAGAAUUUAAGAUUGAGAAAGGAACACGACAGGGUUGCCCAAUCUCUCCAUUGCUUUUUAUUUCGGUCCUGGAGGUUCUGUUAAAUAUGAUAAGAAGGGACCAAUUGGUUAAAGGUAUACAAGUGGGAGCCAAACAGUACAAACUGAAAGCAUUUGCAGAUGAUUUAGUAUUGACUUUACAGGAGCCAGAAUCAAGUACGAAAAGAGUAUUAGAAUUGAUUCAAGAAUUUGGUCAGGUAGCAGGUUUUAAGUUGAAUAAGAUGAAAACUAAAUAACUGAAAAUAUGGACUUGAUUGAUAUUUGGAGAACAAGGAAUCCUCUCGAGAGAGAGGGAACCUUUUUCUCUGAAGCAAUGAUGACCUGGACCAGAAUCGAUCAAAUUUGGAUUACUAGUGGGUUGGCUCCAAAGAUUAAAAAAGUGGAAAUCUGCCCAAAGACCUGCUCCGACCAUAACGCCGUGAGGAUGGAAAUGAAACUUACAACAACUGGUCAAUUCAGAUGGAGGAUGAAUGACACCCUGUUUCGAGAUGAGGAGAUCCAUAGAAAGGCCCAAAAAACUUUAAAGGACUAUUUUGAAAUAAAUCUAAAAACUGAUGUAGAAAAAAGAGUGAUCUGGGACGCAAGUAAAGCAGUGAUGCGAGGAUUUCUAAUUCAACAAAAUUCUGUAAAAAAGAGAAAGCAAAAUGAGAAGAAGGACAAGAUCUUGGAAAAGAUAAAAGAAGGAGAGAAGAAAUUGAGAUCAAAACCAAAGUCCCAGGAGAUUUUGAGAGAGAUUAAGUUAUAUCAGACACAAUAUAUGGAAUUGAUGAAUCAAGAGAUUGAAUGGAAGAUAAAACAAAUGAGACAAAAGACAUUUGAAUCUGCAGAUAAAUGUGGUAAACUUCUGGCUUGGCAAUUGAAGAAAAGGCAGAAACUAAAUACAGUUACAAGCCUAGAAGUGGAUGGAAAGAAUAUAUCUAAACCUAACGAGAUAAGAAAUUGUUUUUUGAGUUAUUUUAAAAAACUAUAUUCACAAGGACCACAGAAGGAGGAGGAUAUAGAAGAAUUUCUUAAAAAGUAUGGACUACAAAAAAUCUCUCACCAAAGUAAGGUGGAUCUAAAUCAGAGAAUAACAGAUCAAGAGAUAGAGGGUGCCAUUCAAAACAUGCAACUGGGCAAAUCUCCAGGACCAGAUGGACUGACUUCCAGAUAUUAUAAGGCUUUGAAGGAGUGGUUGGUACAACCAUUAAAGGAAGUCUGUAAUGAGAUCUUAGAGGGGAAAAGGGCACCAGAAUCGUGGAAAGAAGCGUACAUUACACUCAUACCAAAGACAGAGAUUGAAAAGAAUCAACUUAAGAACUACCGCCCAAUAUCAUUACUUAAUGUGGAUUACAAAAUUUUUGCAGACAUUUUGGCAAAAAGAUUGAAAAGAGUGUUGAUGGAGAAGAUUCAUAAGGACCAAGCAGGCUUUCUCCCAAAAAGGCAUUUAUCAGACAAUGUGAGGAACAUAAUAGACAUUUUGGAAUUAUUAGAGGUGAAUAUAAACACUAAAGCAGUUCUGAUCUUUGUAGAUGCGGAGAAAGCCUUUGACAAUAUUUCUUGGAGUUUUAUGAAAAGAAUCUUCAUGGGAUGGGGGUAGGCCAAGGAUUCGAGAAUGGUAUGGGUGCCAUAUACACUGAACAAAAAGCUAAAUUGAUUGUAAAUAAUGUGAUAACUGAAGAAUUUAAAAUAGAAAAAGGGACACGACAGGGGUGCCCUAUUUCCCCAUUACUUUUUAUUUCUGUUCUGGAGGUGUUGCUAAAUAUGAUUAGAGAUGACCAGCAGGUUAAAGGUGUACAGGUCGGAGCUAAACAUUACAAGUUAAGGGCCUUUGCAGAUGAUUUAGUACUUACUUUACAAGAGCCAGACACUAGUACAAAAAGGGUGUUGGAGCUAAUCCAAGAAUUUGGCCAGGUAGCUGGAUUUAAAUUGAAUAAACAAAAGACUAAAGUUUUGGAAAAAAUUUAACAGUCAUGGAGAGGGAGAAGUUUCAGAAUGAAACAGGUUUGACAGUGGUAAAGAAGGUGAAAUACCUAGGGGUUUAUUUGACAUCUAAAAAUUUGAACCUGUAUAAAGACAAUUAUGAAAAAUGUUGGUCGGAAAUUAAAAAGAUCUAGAAAUAUGGUCAAAUUUGAAAUUGUCAAUGUUAGGCCGAAUUGCAGUUAUUAAGAUGAAUGUAUUGCCUAGAAUGUUAUUCUUGUUUCAAACACUACAAAUUCUAGACAAGAUAGACUGUUUCAAGAGGUGGCAGAAGGAUAUUUCGAAAUUUGUCUGGCAGGGCAAAAGCCCAGAAUAAAAUUUAAAAUACUGACGGAUGCAAAAGAAAGAGGGGGUUUGCCCUGCCGGACUUAAAACUGUAUUAUGAAGCAGCAACUUUUUGCUGGCUGAAAGAAUGGAUGCUCCUCGAGAAUACAGACAUCUUGGACUUAGAAGGUUUUAACAAUACAUUUGGUUGGCAUGCAUAUUUAUGGUAUGAUAAAAUCAAGGUGCAUAAGGCCUUUAAAAAUCAUAUUGUCAGGAAAGCAUUAUAUAACGUUUGGAUAAGAUAUAAAGAUUUGGUGGAAAGUAAGACCCCUAGAUGGUUGUCACCUUUGGAAGCCACGGCGUUGAAAAAGCUUAAUAUGGAAGCCGAAUGGCUAAAGUAUCGGGAAAUUUUGGAACAAGAUGGAGAUAAGUUGAAGCUACAGAGCUAUGAGAAAUUGAAACCCAAAGUACGAGAUUGGCUCCAUUAUUAUCAAAUAAUGGAGGUGUAUAAACAAGACAGGAAAAUUGGCUUCCAGGUGGAGAAAUCAAAAUUAGAAACUGAACUGUUAGAACCCAAUACUAAGAACUUGUCAAGAAUGUAUAAUUUGCUGCUGAAAUGGAAUACACAAGAUGAAACAGUUAAAUCAGCUAUGAUUAAGUGGGCACAGGACAUUGGUCAUAACAUUAUGUUUGCUGACUGGGAAUGGUUGUGGAACACCGGUAUAAAAUUUACGGCAUGUAAUGCCAUAAAGGAAAAUAUUAUGAAAAUGAUCUAUAGGUGGUACAUGACUCCAGUCAAGCUAGCAAAAAUUUAUCAUUUGCCUGAUAAUAAGUGUUGGAAGUGUAAAGAAACUGAAGGUACUUUUUAUCACCUUUGGUGGACGUGCCCAAAGAUUAAGGCUUUCUGGGAAAUGAUAUAUAAUGAAUUAAAAAAGGUACUUAAAUGUACUUUCUUGAAGAAACCAGAGGCCUUUCUCUUGGGCAUUGCCGGCCAAUUGGUAUCAAAGAAAGACAGAACUUUUUUUAUGUAUGCUACGACAGCAGCAAGAAUACUCAUCGCAAAGUAUUGGAAGACAGAAGAACUACCCACCUUGGAAGAGUGGCAGAUGAAGGUUAUAGACUAUAUGACAUUGGCGGAGAUGACCGGCAGAAUCCGUGAGCAGGGGAAAGAGACGGUGGAAGAAGAUUGGAAGAAAUUUAAAAUCUAUCUAAAGAACUAUCAUAAAAUUGAGGAAUGUUAAAAUGUCGAGGUUUGGAGAAAGAAAAGGAGAUUACAGCGACAUAAGAUUAAGUUGAAGAAAAAAAAAAUAAGAAAAAUAUAUUUGAUAAAAUUAUUUAGAAUUUGCUGAAAUAAUUUUGGAAAUUGGGAUGUAGGAAGGGGAGGUUUGGGGAAGUCCGAGAAGAGAGGGUUAUGAAAAAAAAGGUUAUGAAACUAUACAUGUUUGUAUGUCUUUUUAUUUGUUUGUAUUGUAUAAAACUUGUCUAUAAAAUCAAUUAAAAAAUUAUAUAUAUAAAAAAAAGAAAACUAAAGUUCUGGAGAAAAAUCUGAAUGUGAUUGAGAGAGAGAAGUUUCAGAGGGAGACAGGUCUGACACUGGUUAAGAAAGUGAAAUAUUUAGGGGUCAAUAUGACUGCUAAAAAUGUGAAUUUAUUUAAGGAUAACUAUGAAAAAUGUUGGACUGAAGUGAAAAAAGACUUAGAAAUAUGGUCAAAAUUGAAGCUAUCGUUGCUAGGCCGAAUUGCUGUGAUAAAAAUGAAUGUAUUGCCAAGAAUGUUAUUUUUGUUUCAAUCACUGCAAAUUUUAGACAAAAUGGAUUGUUUCAAGAAGUGGCAGAGAGAUAUUUCCAGAUUUGUCUGGCAGGGCAAGAAGCCUCAUAUAAAAUUUAAGAUUUUAACUGAUGCUAAAGAAAGAGGUGGAUUUGCCCUGCCAGACUUAAAACUUUAUUAUGAAUCAGCCGCUUUUUGCUGGCUGAGAGAAUGGAUGCUUCUUGAAAAUACGGAUGUUUUGGAUUUGGAAGGUUUCAAUAAUGUAUUUGGUUGGCAUGCAUAUUUGUGGUAUGAUAAGGUCAAAGCACACAAAGCAUUCAAAAACCAUAUUGUAAGAAAAGCACUGUUUAAUGUCUGGAUAAGAUAUAAGGACUUGUUAGAAAAUAAAACCCCAAGAUGGCUGUCACCUAUGGAGGCAAAGGCCCGGAAAAAACUCAAUAUGGAGGCCAAAUGGCCGAAGUAUUGGGAAAUUUUGGAACAAGAGGGUGAUAGAUUAAAAUUACAGAGCUUUGAAAAAUUAAAAAACAAAGUGCGAGAUUGGCUCCAUUAUUAUCAAAUAAUGGAGGCAUAUAAUCAGGAUAAAAAACUAGGUUUUCAGGUGGAAAAAUCAAAGCUGGAAAUAGAAUUGUUAGACCCUAAAGUUAAGAAUUUGUCAAGAAUGUAUAACUUCCUGUUGAAAUGGAAUACUCAGGAUGAAAUGGUGAAAUCUGCUAUGAUUAAAUGGGCACAGGAUGUUGGACAUAAUAUUAUGAUGGCUGACUGGGAACAGUUAUGGACCACUGGUAUGAAGUUUACGGCAUGUAAUGCCUUAAAAGAGAAUUUAAUGAAAAUGAUUUACAGGUGGUACAUAACACCAGUCAAGCUUGCAAAAAUUUAUCAUUUGCCCGAUAAUAAAUGUUGGAAAUGCAAUGAAACUGAAGGUACUUUCUUUCACCUUUGGUGGACAUGCCCAAAGAUUAAGGCAUUCUGGGAGAUGAUCUAUAAUGAAAUGAAAAAGGUAUUUAAAUAUACCUUUGUAAAGAAACCAGAGGCCUUUCUCCUGGGCAUGGUGGGCCAAUUGGUGCCAAAGAAGGACAGAGUUUUUUUCAUGUAUGCUACAACAGCAGCAAGAAUACUCAUCGCAAAGCACUGGAAGACACAAGACCUACCUACCAGGGAAGAAUGGCAGAUGAAGCUGAUGGAUUACAUGGAAUUGGCGGAAAUGACUGGCAGAAUCCGAGACCAGGGAGAAGAGUCAAUGGAAGAAGAUUGGAAAAAAUUCAAAGCUUAUUUACAGAAAUAUUCUAAAAUUAAUGAAUGUUAGAAAGAUGCUGGAAAGAAGUUAUAUGACUUUAGUAGAAAUAUUAUAAAGAAUCAAGUAUGAAUAGAUUGACAUUGGGUAAAGAUGUAAAUUUAAGUCUAAAAUUGCGUUAAGUUAAAUUAUGGAACUAAAUUUGUGAAAGAGGGAAAGGACUUGCUGGAAUAUUUAAUUGAACUAGAAUACAAAAAAGGAGGUGUGAGGAAGUCGAGGAAAUAAGCAAAUGAAAGAUAAGGAUAUGAAAAUAUGGGGUUCUUUUGUAUGUUUGUUUGUUCUCUUUUGGGUUUUUUUUUAAAUGUUUUUGUUUUGUUUUCUUUCUUUUUUUGUAUUGUUGAUGUUUUGUACUGCUGUAUUUGCUUUUGAGGCUUUGUAAUUGUUUAUUGUUUAUAUUUUUUUCUUUUGUUUUUUUUUUCUUUUUUGUAAUGUCUAAACUUUAAUAAAUAUUUUAUAUAUUAAAAAAAAGAAUUCAUUUUCCUUCUUUAGGGCACAUAAAGUGUUCUUGCCACUAUAGAAAAUGUUAUGAAAUAUAUAAAAUGCUGCCUAGCUUUCUUGGUCAUCUUACCGCCUACUGUAGCAGGAACGGAAUAGGUAAAUGCCGUCUCUUUUGUGGCUCAUUUGACCUUAAUGGCAGCUAUAUUCCAUGCAUAAUUUCCAACUUGCCAUCUAAUAUUUCUGCUAUAAAGCAUGCAAAAACAUUUGCCUGCAAUUGAUUUUGCACACACACUCUUUGUCAUUUGAAGGGAGUUGUCUUCCAGACAAACCACAAGUUGUAAACCAAGAGCAAAUCUUGGUGUUUUAAUUUGUGUCUGUAAUAUCCUAUUAGCGUUCCUCCUCCUGCUGCUGCUGCUGCGUUCUGCACCAGUUGAAGUUUCUGGACCAUCUUUAAGAUCAGCCCCACACAGAGCACAUUACAGUAAUCUUGCCUGGAGGCAUGUGCUACAGCAGCAAGGUCCACUUUCUCUAGCGAAAGCUGCAGCUGACUAACCAGCCAGUGCUGGUAAAAAGCACUCCUGGCUAUUGCUGAUGGCUGAGUUUCCAUGGAAAGCAGUCAAUACAGCAGCACUCUGAAGCUGUGUCCCUGUCUGUUUAUGCAAUCCCAAUGAGAGCCAGCUACACAAAGGUUAAAGGUUAUAGAUGCUUAAUUAGCAGAAAUGAACAAAGAAGGGAAGAGGGAAUCUCCAGUGUCAAAUUAAAUCUGAAGCAGCAACAGAGGCCAGGCAUUCUCAGGCUGUGAUAGGAUGACCACCGGAAAGCGUGAGUGCCCGGGUGAUGGAGUGCAGUCAGGCAGAAUGGUUGUUCCCAAGAAGGAUCUCAAAGGCACAUUUAGUCCUGAGAUUCAAAAGCAUUAUAGCUUCUAGGAAACAAAAGACAAAUGUGUCUACUGAAAGGGAACUUUCUGGAGAAAUAAAAGCAGGGAGAUGCUAGGGCUAUCUUCUGAAAAUGGAGCAGUAGAUACUGGAUGCAUAUAUAUGGUGCUACAUGGAAGGUCCAAAGGAACAGUGGGCAUCAUCCACAGAUGAGUGGCAAGUUGUUGCUCUGAUUGCAUUGGAUUGGGGCAGUGGGCUCAGCUUGUCUGAGGGCUCCCUGGUUCCAUUUCACUGGAGGCUGAUGAAUAUCCCUGACAUCCAGCCCUGCCACCAUUUUAAGGUUAAGGUUAAGGGACCCCUGGCCAUUAGGUCCAGUUGUGUCCGACUCUGGGGUUGUGGCGCUCAUCUCGCUUUAUUGGCCGAGAGAGCCGGCGUACAGCUUCCGUGUCAUGUGGCCAGCAUGACUAAGCCGCUUCUGGUGAACCAGAGCAGCACACAGAAACACGGUUUACCUUCCCGCCAGAGCGGUACCUAUUUAUCUACUUGCAAUUUGACAUGCUUUUGAACUGCUAGGUUGGCAGGAGCAGGGACCGAUCAAUGGGAGCUCACCCCGUCACAGCAAUUCGAACCGCCGACCUUCUGAUCGGCAAGUCCUAGGCUCUGUGGUUUAACCCACAGCGCCACCCGUGUCCCUUAAAGGUAAAGAUAAAGGUACCCCUGCCCGUACGGGCCAGUCGUGACCGACUCUGGGGUUGCGCGCCCAUCUCGCUUAAGAGGCCGGGGGCCAGCGCUGUCCGGUGACACUUCCGGGUGACGUGGCCAGCGUGACGAAGCUGCUCUGGCGAGCCUGCACCAGCGUACCACACGGAAACGCCGUUUACCUUCCCGCUAUAAAGUGGUACCUAUUUAUCUACUUGCACUUAAGAGUGCUUUCGAACUGCUAGGUGGGCAGGAGCUGGGACCGAACGACGGGAGCUCACCCCGCUGCAGGGAUUCGAACCGCCGACCAUACGAUCAGCAAGUCCUAGGCGCUGAGGUUUUACCCACAGCGCCACCCGUGUCCCUUAGUUGCUAAUAAAAUCAUGGUGGUUUCUAAAGGAAGCAUCAAUUGUCACUGCAGCUCUGCGGUGGCUGAGUUACAAUGCACAAAAGGGUACAAGGACAUAUUGAUUCUCAAUAGUUAAUGUUUCUGUUGCUUGCAGAUAAUUUCCUUUUAAGAGGAUAGCAGCACUUCUGAUCACCUCUGUCUACUGGCAGGCUGACUCUAUGAUCUUGCUACACUGGCAGCUUUUACCACAAGAACUAACAUCAACAAAAAUAGCUCCUUGAUGACCUGUUUAUGAAGCAUUCAUCCUAAUUUGCAAAAAGUUUGCAAGGAGGUUAGGCAGUGCUUUUUUUCCUUUCAGCUAGAGCACGCCAGAGGACCUCUCAGGUGAGUGCCAUUGUCCCCCCCCCCCCCGCAACUUCUUGCCUCUAUGUACUUCUGAGAAACCCAAAAUAAACAUUUCAAGUCAAAACGAAAGCUGGCCAGCAUGCAUGAAUCUACACCAGGAGUCAGCAACCUUUUUCAGCCGUGGGCCGCUCCACCGUCCCUCAGACCAUGUGGUGGGCAGGACUAUAUUUUGAAAAAAAUAAUGAACAGAUUCCUAUGCCCCACAAAUAACCCAGAGAUGCAUUAUAAAAAAAGCACACAUUCUACUCAUGUAAAAACACCAGGCAGGCGCCACAAAUAACCCAGAGAUGCAUUUUAAAUAAAAGAACACAUUCUACUCAUGUAAAAACACGCAGAUUCCUGGACCGUCCGCAGGCCAGAUUAAGAAGGCGAUUGGGCCACAUCCGGCCCCCGGGCCUUAGGUUGCCUACCCCUGGUCUACACUCUUUUUUUAGAUCUAUGACUCUACUUAGCUCUGAGCCACUCUGGUACAUGAUUAAAUCCCAUUGAAAAACAAUGACAGUUUGGUAAAAGGUAAAGGUAAAGGUACCCCUGCCCGUAUGGGCCAGUCGUGUCCGACUCUAGGGUUGUGCGCCCAUCUCACUUAAGAGGCCGGGGGCCAGCGCUGUCCGGAGACACUUCCGGGUCACGUGGCCAGUGUGACGAAGCUGCUCUGGCGAGCCAGCACCAGCGCAGCACACGGAAACGCCGUUUACCUUCCCGCUAUAAAGCGGUACCUAUUUAUCUACUUGCACUUAAGGGUGCUUUUGAACUGCUAGGUGGGCAGGAGCUGGGACCGAAAGACGGGAGCUCACCCCGCCGCGGGGAUUCGAACCACCAACCAUGCAAUCGGCAAGCCCUAGGCACUGAGGUUUUACCCACAGCGCCACCCGCGUCCCUGUUUGGAAGCACCCCCAAUUGUCAACCCAUAAAACAGAAUACCCUUCACAUAGGGAUGGCGAGAGCGUUCUCCCAUCCCUAUCACCUGAACCAGUGCCUAUCCACAACCUUACAGGUUGUGACGAUUUCCUACACAUCAGGCGAAACCCAAAUGGCAACAGCCAAUCAGCGAAGUGGGGAAAAUUCCUGCCGUGCCCCUGUCCCAGCAACAGAUGACACAUGAUGGCAUAGCAAGGUCAAGUGCAAGCCCUAAAAUUAGGGAGAGGUGGGCGGGUGUUCCGAAUGCACAAGCUGAAAGAAGAAGCUCUGGGUCACGUGCAUAGGUAUUUAUAGGUCCCUCGAUCUGUUGAGACAUCACCCCAUUGGCCAAAUUAAACCCAGCAAUGAGGGACCUACCAACUGGGUGUUGUGGCUGUCCAUUAUACCCACCCACAACCAAGAGGUCAGUCUCCAGGUCUCACCACAACACAUGCCCUCUUUUAGAGAGGACACACUCUAUAUAAACAGGAGACAAUGCAGCAACACCAAGAGACACUUCCAUGGUAGUCCUAGCAACUCCACUGCCACCUACCUAUUAUGACACUGAUGGUGCCCCCUUAAUGAAGGCAGCAGUCUAAAUUAGCUAUGCACGGAAUAUACCUAUCCAUGAUUGCAUGGAGGCCACAAUUGUGUCACACUAUGCAGUGUGCGCACAUACAGCACUGGCAGGAAGAGCUGACAGCACCUCCCGUGUCAGAGGCCAGAACUGUUCAUCAGAUAGCAAAAAUAGCAAUUAACAGCUAUAGCAGCAACCUUUCUAGGAUUCCUCUCAGCCAGAGCUCAGGCCCCCCAGGAACUCACGCAAAGUUAGGAGCAGUACAAAAGGAAAAGAUACAAUCAGCCAGCAUUUCUCCGGGGAAGAGAGCCAGGUUUGGCAGGGAAGGAAAUUCUACCAUUCCAGUUACAAAAACAAAUCACCAAUUGGUAAGAAGAGGAAUGCAAAUGGAAUUCAUAGGAUAAAAGCUCUGCAAGAGAAGUCCUUGAGUCCUAUUGCUGCAAGUACAUACCAAGAUAAAACACCAUUUUCAACCCUCCUGUUCCUUUCAGAGGCAAAGGAGUAACCCCAAGAGAAAUGGCGAAAGGCAACAGAGGAUGGCAUAUUACCUUUGCAUCUUGAAGAAGAAGUUUUAAAAUAACAAAAGACCACCCCUGCGAGACUAUUUCUUUUUAGGAAAGGGUUUUAUUUUGAACUGGUGGAUGUUGUAAUACACUUUUAUGUGGAUUUCCCCAUUCAAAGCAUUAGUCAGUUAUUUUAAAUUGUGCCAGGAAGUUGCUCCUUAGUUUUCUGUUUUCAUCACAGACAAAAACCCAGCUAGCUAUUUUGCAUCUUGCCUAGGUACUUCUCAUCAGGUCCCCAUUUAGAAGACAGAACUGGGCAUUGUGCCAGGCUAUUGCUUGUCAGUUUCCCCCAAUUAAAAGAAAAUACAUGGCUGUGUAUUGUGCUUUGGUAUUUCACAUCACACUCAUUAUUGUUGUUCACUAAUCCCCCAUUUAAGGGCCAGACCGGCUGCUAUUUCGCAUUGUUCUCAGCCAUUGAUCAUCAUCAGCAUCACCUGGUUUUUUAAAGGUCUGAACCAGAAAGCUAUUUCACUUCUUGCUAGCCUUUAGCCGGUUGGUGUCUCUCUCCCAGAUCAAGUGACACUUUUGCAAACCCAUUUCUCUCCCAGGAGACAUUACCAGGAGUGGAUAUGAACUUUUGCCACCCUUACUUUGCAUUUACAACAACCAUCUGCAAUAUACUAAUAAUAGGAGAAAUAGUGUAAUUAUUAGUUUCUCCGGACCAUCUCCAUUCCUGCUACUUAUAUCUCCCAAACUGGCAUGCUGCUUUCUUUUCUAUUCAAUCCUACUCUUCCAUUCCUUUCUCUCCAGGGACCUUAGGUUUAAAUGAGAUGUGCAGUCCCUGGACAUUAAGCACCAGACUUGAGUGUGCUCCUCAUCCAAACUGGGGGUUGGUGGGUGAGCUAUAGAGCUUACCUGAAAAUAAUUGGGUUGCAGUACUCAACAUUUGCAGGAUGCGGGUGGUGCUGUGGGUUAAACCACAGAGCCUAGGGCUUGCCGAUCAGAAGGUCGGCGGUUCGAAUCCCCACGACGGGGUGAGCUCCCAUUGCUCGGUCCCUGCUCCUGCCAACCUAGCAGUUCGAAAGCAUGAAGUUCAAGUAGAUAAAUAGGUACUGCUCCAGCUGGUUUGCCAGAAACGGCUUAGUCAUGCUGGCCACAUGACCCGGAAGCUGUACGCCGGCUCCCUCGGCCAAUAAAGCGAGAUGAGCGCCACAACCCCAAAGUCGUCCACAACUGGACCUAACGGUGAGGGGUCUCUUUAGCUUUUACUCAACAUUUGUAUUAGUAAAGUUGCCAGUGGCAUUUCACCUAAAGCAAAAUUGGAAGAGGACAACACUUGGAUAAAACAAGUGCAAUUUCUUUGGGGCAGGAACUGAGGGGGCCAAACAUUCCUAAGUGGCAUCCAAAUUCUCCUGAAGCCAUGAUGGAUAAACUGUGGCCAUUCAGAUGGUGAUGGACCCCAGUGCACAUCAACCCUAGCAUUGUCAGUGAUUAGAGAUGUAGUCCAGCAACCUCUGGAGGAACACAGACAGCUUCUCCUGACCAAAACAAACUCAAGGCAAUUCUGGAGGUACUUCCUCAGGUGAAAUAUCUGUAAAAUUGUGAGGGAUGCUAAUAAUGUUUCUCAAGGAGACACUGCAAAGCCCUCCAUUUCAGCAUUUAGCAACCUAUUGGAAAUGUUUCAGAUUUGUCACUGAGGUUUUGGCCAUCAAUGGUAUUGCAUCAUGCAAAUACUGAAUAUAAGGAAAACUAUUAAUUGCUGCCCAUUAUGUCCAAAUGCAGAGCAGGCAAUCAGCCUCCCCACUGACAAAGUUGUGACAUUUGCGGCUUUUUUCCUGCGGUAGGAGUAUGACACGGGCAAAAAAGCCUGUGACGAUCAUGGCAAGCUAGAUUUGCUAAAGUGCACAACAGUUGUAUCCUCCUUACUCAUAAUCACUUAUUAGUUUUCAAGUGCCUGCACCAGAAAAGAAUACACAAAUUUCCAGUGAAAUUACUUAUGGUUCGCUAAAGGGCAUGGCAUGUAAAAGCAACUGUGUGCUCCUGUGUAACAUCAUGAAAAUUAAAUGAGGGUAAUCAGAGGUUUCUUGGAUGGAACUAAUUUACCCAUUAAUCUUAACCAUAGUAACCUAGUCACAGCUACUGAAUAAAAUUACACAAAGGAUAAGAAUCAGGGAACCUGCAGAAACACCAGAGUGGUCAAAGCUCCCCCACCCCCCACAACCAAUAAGCAAUCUUGGGAAGGGGCAGGAGACUCAAGAAGGGGAAUGAAAGACACACUCUGACAGAAACAACCUCUUGUGGCUAGCUGGACGGCAACAGGACAGGCAGCAAGAUGACACAAGAUGGUGUUGGAUUGAGGAGGUGUGUGAAGUCAGGCUUGAGGACCUUCAGUCCUUUCCAGUCCCAUGAUUCCCUGCUGCAGCAUCAGGUUAGGCUCUGUCAUGGAAUUUAUGCCUCUUAAGCUAAAACGGUAUUCUGUGGAUGUCAUUGAUAAAACAGUAAUGUCAUAAAAAACUAGGAAAUGUUUUACUGAUCCUGAAGGUGAAUGAAUGAGUCAUCCUGGACCGGAUACAAAGUAUCUAUUCCUUUGUGGUUUAGUUACAUCAAAGCCCUAAUUUAGGAUACUGUUCCUGUGAUUGUUCUCAGGUACUAAAAUCAAUGGUGCAUAUUAGUUGUUUGGGGUGAGGGGGUAAAAAGUAAAAGAUUGAUGGCAAGAACCUAUAAUCAUUAAAAUACCUUUUAAAAAUCCCUACGAAACCUAUGCAAUAUUAUUCUUUAAAGGUGCUUUUCCUGACUUCCUCUGGUUCUUUUGUGUUUGCCAACUGGCUUGGGCAUAAAACAUAUUUGACUUUGUAGGUCAACUGUAGGUUUGCUUGUGUGUGUACACACAAGCAGGAUACUGACACUCUUUCCCAUGUUGUCCAUUUGUGAUACAACCUCAAGCGCUCUCUCUCUCUCUCUCUCUCUCUCUCACACACACACACACACACACACAAUUCUCUGUUAUUGAGAGGUCCCGAGGAGGAAGAGGUAGCGAGAGACUUGACAACAGCUCAAACCAAGAAUCUGCCCCGGCAACAAGGAACAGGAAUGCUGGAGGGAGGGACUCAAAAGCCAUGAGUUGUGUCCUUGGCCAACUUCUUUUCCUGUGCCCAAAAUAAACCUUGCUGCUUCUCUUAGACAUGGGAGAUAAGGAGACCCUUGGCCAGUCCUUUGAGGUGUUGCAUGCUCUAUUCACCAGCCAGCAGGUUCUGGGGUAUACUGUGAGGUGCAUUUAUAUUAACCUGAGGGGACCUCUCAGGACCCUCUCUCCAUAACUUUCUUUCACUGCUAACCCUUUAAGGGAUACUUUCCUUCCUGUUUCAUGCCCUCUUUUCAACGUCAUUAAAGCUCAUCCAUUAGGGCAUCCUAGGCUAAUUCAGACCUAUAGUUGGGCCUGGACUGAGUCUAUACAUCCAAGAAUGCUACAAAAUACCCUCCAACAUUUCUCUGAUGAAAAAACUGUGGUACCUUGGUUCUCAAACUUAAUCUAUUCCAGAAGUCCAUUCCAAAACCAAAAACCAAGGCGCACUUUCCCAUAGAAAGUAAUGCAAAAUGGAUUAAUCCAUUCCAGACUUUUAAAAACAACCCCUAAAACAGCAAUUUAACAUGAAUUUUACUAUCUAACGAGACCAUUGGUCCAUAAAUUGAAAGCAAUAAACAAUGUACUGCAGUCGCACAAUCAAUCAGUAGCCGAACUGAGUUCCACACAGUCACAAAAAUGAAAGAAAAAAAGAGCCAUGAAAAUGCAAAAUAAACAGCAAAAAUAGACAGACCUCAGCAUAACAUUCAAAAUGGAAGUGUAGCAAGUGUGGCACUCAAAUUGGAAGUGUAUCUCUCAAAUUGGAAGUGUAACACUCAAAAUGGAGCAUGUUUGGCCUCUGAAAAAAGUUCACAAACUGGAACACUUACUUCCAGGUUUGCAGUGUUUGGGUUCCAAGUUGUUUGAGUACCAAGGCGUUUGAGAACCAAGAUACCACUGUAGGGACGUCCCAUUCCAUAAUGAUAAUUAUACUAUUUAUACCCCACACAUCUUAUUGGGUUACCCAGACACUCUCGGCAGCUCCAAACAUAUAAAAAAUAACAAUAAAGCAUUUAAAAAACUUCCCUAUACAAGAUUGCCUUUAGACAGCUUAGGGGCCAGAUAUCUCCAUACCCUCCAUCAUGAAAAUAGGGACAUCCUAUGGAAAAGUAAGGGACGCGGGUGGCGCUGCGGGUUAAACCACAGAGCCUAGAACUUGCCAAUCAGAAGGUCAGCGGUUCGAAUCCCCAUGACGGGGUGAGCUCCCGUUGCUCGGUCCCUGCUCCUGCCAACCUAGCAGUUUGAAAGCCCGUCAAAGUGCAAGUAGAUAAAUAGGUACCGUUCCAGCGGGAAGGUAAACGGUGUUUCCGUGUGUUGCUCUGGUUCUCCAGAAGCCGCUUAGUCAUGCUGGUCACAUGACCUGGAAGCUGUACGCCGGCUCCCUUCGCCAAUAAAGCGAGAUGAGCGCCGCAACCCCAGAGUCGGCCACAACUGGACCUAAUGGUCAGGGGUCCCUUUACCUUUACCUUAUGGAAAAGUGGGACAUUCCAGGAUCAAAUCAGAAACUGGGAUGGUUUCUCUAAAUCAGGGACAUCCCUGGAAAAUAGGAACACUUGGAAGAUCUGCUACAACCGUUCCACAACAACACUCUUGAGCACCUCCCCCCCCAAAGGGGGCAUUUGGGCAGUAAUUGUUACAAACCAAUGGGUCCAGAACAUGGUGUGUCCCCUACACACAGUAGUUAUAUCCCUGUCUCUUUCAUAUUUUUGUGCAGCAAUCUCUAUAUUUCACUCAGCUUUCAACCCUUUCCAUUGACAUUGCAUGUUGUGGUUCGAGGACCCGAUCCCCGCGUAGUGGAAUGAAAACACAAGGACAGGUGAUAUAAGGUUAAUGGGCAAGAAAAGGCCACAACUUUAUUGAUUACAGCAAGUGAAAAGGUAUUGGCUUAGGCAUUGGAUUACGUCAGCUGACUCCACCCCCUCAGAGAGGGGUGAGUCUAAAACAGGGGGGUUUAUUCACCAGUAGGUGGAGCCUGUUGAUGCUAAUCCAACUAUAAGCUCUCCCCUGAUGUCACCGAGGGUCGUGCCAUGGCCUCCCGCCACGCAGGCAUCGGACAGAAUACAUGACCGCCGGAUUCCUUUAACGGAAUACCCAAAAUUGAAGGUGCAGGCGAUGGCCACACCUAGCCCUUCGACACACCACAACACAUUAUUCCAAUGGCUAACCGCCACCCGAGCCCAAAAGGCUCGCCGCCAAUACCCUCACAGCUGUAACCAAUCCCUGAUGCUGCUGCUGAUGCUAUUUAACCAAAUGUCAUUCCCUUGGUCUGAAAGAUGAACCCCAUCAUUCCGGUACAAAGCCUGAUCGCCAAUCUGGAUACGGUCGUGAGAAAUGACUCGGCCAUUCAUAAAGCGCACCCAACGGGCUAUUGCACGAUUUAAGAGUUUCCUGGAUUUUUCAAUGGCCAUACAGUUCUGCGCACCGCGCCAAACAAUUCUCUUCAGGAAGGAGGACCAGAACACCGUUGUUCCGGGACACAAGGCAGCAAUCUCAUCCAAAUCUCUUUUUAUGUUCCACGACAAGUCCACACUUCUUCUGUUAACAAGGUCAUUUCCCCCUAAUUGAAGGAUAAGGGUGUCGGGAGGGCCAAACAUGGCGACUUUCUCCCUCAGCAAUGGCACAAGCUCUUCCCAACGCAUGCCUCCUCUCGAAAACCAGGAAACUCGCACUCCAGGUGGCAACCCAAGAUUAGGGGUGCGGCCGCAGCUAGCCGACACGGGCCCAAUGGACUAUACUGUGGCCGCAAAUCCAAACACUUUUUCUGAGAACCGCUGAGAAUAAAGGAAAGAGAAAGACGGGUAAGUAGAGAUAUUGCAGCGGAGUGCAUACUAGCGAAUGUAACCUUUAUAAGCGUCGGAUUUCCACCGGCCCAUUUCUUUAAUCCUAUCCGCCGGCAGACCCAAGCGUGCCGCUGUUGUGGUGGCGCCAAUCCUGAAUGAGUGUGCAGCAUAAUCCUGGGAAGAUAAACCACAGGCAUCAAUAGCUUUGUGGAGUACCCUUGUGAAUUGGGGCCGGAAGGCUGGUGCUGCAGCAAUUUAGGCUGCUAAACACGCCCCCUCACAGGCACCUGGUUGGGUGCCUGCCUGUGGGCGUGGGCCCCAGCCAGGUGAGUGGGAGGCAGGGGGCUAACGCCCCCUGCUUGAGGCGGAGUCCGGCUCCCGACCACAACCACUCCCCUCUCUUGCAGGAGGAGAGUCUUUAUCAGUUUUACAAGCCUUUCAUAAAAAAAGAAACCUUUGCUGUCACAACCAGUUUGUGAUCAUAAACUGAACCACAAUAUGAAGAGAAAAGUGUGACAAUGUAUGGAGAUAUAUGGCAUCAUUUCACCAGUGACCAUCAGUACCAAAACAACAUGGGGCAAAGCAUGUUUUAGCGUUAUUAUACAGUUCAUUAUGUGAAUGAUGAUGCAAACUAUCACAUUUAUCUGGGAGAAAACUUAAUGUAGCUUUUUUCUGGGGAGAACUAAUAUGCCUUCACAGUUACAGAGUCAUUUUGGGUAGAUUUCCUGAGAAGUAAAACUCACUCUGCAUUCACUGGAGUUUGUCUUUAAAUAUAGGAUUUCCAGCGUUUUUUAUUUAAAACAUUUAUUUGGUUCUCUUCAACUAUGGCAGGCAUAGCACCUUGCAAAAUAAAACAUAAAGGCAGAAUGAACCCAGCAAUGAUAAAUUUCAGCAGGAAGUUAAAACUCCAGCAGAACAUGAAUGUGAUGUGACAGCUGUGCUCUUCAAAAUUUUAUUUUGUGAAGAUGUCAAAGGCAUGCCGAAAAUGGCAGUAGAGUGGGGCCAUUUUUGGCAACAGCCCCUGCUUCCUUGCACCUUGUCUUUGGAAAGUAAUUAUGUGACGCACUGUGUACAUGUGCACACACGUUUGUUUGUUUGUUUGUUUGUUUGUUUGUGUGUGUGUGUUUGUAUAAAAAUGUAGCUCUUGAACCCCUUCAUAGAUGUAUGGAGAUAUACGGCAUUCUUACUGCUGAAGAUUACCACUGCAAUAAAUCUGUGAUGCACACCUUUCCCUAGGACCCUCGUACCUACGGGACCGCCUCUCCCGGUAUGCCCCACGGAGAGCCUCAAGGUCCAUAAAUAGCAACACCCUAGUGGUCCCAGGCCCUAAGGAAGUGAGAUUGGCUUCAACCAGAGCCAGGGCCUUUUCAACUCUGGCUCCGGCUUGGUGGAACGCUCUGUCUCAUGAGACCAGGGCCCUGCAGGAUCUGAUUUCUUUCUGCAGGGCCUGUAAGACAGAGUUGUUCCGCCUGGCCUUUGGCUUGGAGCCAAUUUGAUUUCCUUCCUCCCUCUCUUUCUUUUUUCUUUUCCUUUCUCCUCCUGUGAUGAGGCUGCAUUUUAAUAUUUUAAUGUUUCAAUAUUUUAAUGUUGUAUUUUAAUUUUGUUUUUAAGUUGUAAUCAAUAUCAACUUGUUUUUAUUAUUGCUUGUUAGCCGCCCUGAGCCCAGCCUUUGCUGGGGAGGGCGGGGUAGAAAUAAAAAGUAUUAUUAUUAUUAUUAUUAUUAUUAUUAUUAUGUGUGCCAGGAGUUGCUCUAGUGGCAAUAUUCUCUGCACUUUACAAGUUGUACAGUUCUUAAUAUUGACCAGUCCAUGGUGUGUCAUUGGAAAGAGCAGGAUAAACCAUCAACCAUCACAACACCUGUAUACCUUCACAUUAAGGAAGAGGUAUUUAUUCAUCACCUACUGAGAGCUAUUUUGGGUUGAAGAAUAUUAAUGAGUUAUGUAGCUCACUCAUGCAGCUUCUCAUAAUAACGUAUCUGAACUUUAUUAACUCUUUCUUAUACUCUGCAGUAACAAUGAUUCUUGGCUGAUCUUACUAUGCUUUACACCGGGGAACUACAACUGAACUACAAUUUCCAUUGCCCUUGAAAAAUACCUAUGCUGGAGCUAAUGGGAGUUGAGUCAAGCAACACCUGGAGGGCUUCAGCUGUCCCACCUCUACUUUCCAUCUUUCCUUGCCCCAUAAAGCCACUUUCCUUCACAGGAGGGAGGGAUUGCAGGCUGGCCUCACACUCUCCUGCACUUAGUGGGGGCAUGACGAGUCCCCCAUGUCAUGGGGGAAUUCCGGCCCAUGUCACGCCUGCAGCCAGCCAAUUUGGCUGGCUGGGGAGCGUAGUUUGCCGCAUUUAAGUGCCCUCAAUCUUUCCCAACAUUAGGGUCUUUCCCAGGGAGUCUUCUCAUGAAGUGGCGAAAGUAUUGGAGCCUCAGCUUCAUGAUCUGUCCUUCCAGUGAGCACUCAGGGCUGAUUUCCUUCAGAAUGGAUGCAUUUGAUCUUCUUGCAGUCCAUGGGACUCUCAAGAGUCUCCUCCAGCACCAUAAUUCAAAAGCAUCAAUUCUUCGGCGAUCAGCCUUCUUUAUGGUCCAGCUCUCACUUCCAUACAUCACUACUGGGAAAACCAUAGCUCUAACUAUACGGACCUUUGUCGGCAAGGUGAUGUCUCUGCUUUUAAAGAUGCUGUCUAGGUUUGUCAUUGCUUUUCUCCCAAGAAGCAGGCGUCUUUUAAUUUCAGGACUACUGUCACCAUCUGCAGUGAUCAGGGAACCCAAGAAAGUAAAAUCUCUCACUGCCUCCAUUUCUUCCCCUUCUAUUUGCCAGGAGGUGAUGGGACCAGUGGCCCUGAUCUUGAUGUUGAGCUUCAGACCAUAUAUUGCGCUCUCCUCUUUCACUCUCCUUAAUAGGUUCUUUAAUUCUUCCUCACUUUCUGCCAUUAAGGUUGUGUCAGCUGCAUAUCUGAGCCUAAGGCAUGUUUUAUGGUAAAUACAUCUCUCUCUCUCUCUCUCUCUCUCUCUCUCUCUCUCUCUCUCUUUGCUGGGCUGGAUGGGCCUUUGGCCUGAUCCAGUCUGAUCCUCUUAUGUUCUUAGACACUGAAACAAAAAAAUGGCAUUCAUCAGUCAGAAGGAGCUACCCUCAGUGUGCACUGAUUUGGAGAAAAACUAAAGAAAGCUGGAGGCACAGCUUCUUUGAUAAAUGGCAGCCAAAAUUAUGAGUCAAUUCUGAAAUCUUAAAACUAUAUUUUUGAAGCAUUCUGUAAUAAGGCAUGUAUACUACAUGCUGAACCAUUUUUUAAAAAAUUCAUUUUCAUUAUAGCUAUACAGAGAGUUAAGGCUCAGGUAGAUUAUUCCACUUCCAUAUUAAAAGGGGGAAAGUAAAACUUCUCAUAUAGUUAUUUUUUAACCCCAUCUUUUUUUAAAAAAAUGAGUAUUUUGUGUGUUUUUUUGGUUUUUUGCCUGAAAGUUGUUUCACAGGAUACCAAUAGAUGGGGCAUAAUGAGGUUCUAACUAAUUGACGUUAUCUUUUCAUUAGGCUCUAAUGAUUUGAGUAAGGUAAUGUUGAGGGGCGAGAUAAAUUUAGACUAAUGAGGUAACCAAUUACAACAACAUCCAAGGCAGGUAUUUUACUGUCUCUGAUUCCUCCUCCUUCGUCUUCUAUUAAUCCCUGCUGGUGCAAUCAGCUGUAGAAGGUGAAGCAUCCUGAAGUGUCCAUUAUUAGCAUAUUUUGAUUUCUGAUAGAACAGGAAAGAAAGAAAGAAAGAAAGAAAGAAAGAAAGAAAGAGAAAGAAAGAAAGAAAGAAAGAUGCAAGGCACCAGUACUGGAAAUAAACAUAAUCAGAAACCUCAAAGGUACACAGGAAUCAGAAAUAGAACACGAGGAAGUAAUUGUAAACAGAAGUUGUUUCUUCUCUCUCUGUGCUUGAUUUGAUGCAUAUUUUUAAUCCUUAGCUUUAUGACAGAGGUGGGGAACCUGUGGCAUAGCGGCUGACUGUGGCCCUCCCACAUUCUCUAGUUGGCCCUCACAAUUCUCCCCAGGCCACACUCUUCACCAGCUCUGCUCCAGAGCCUCCUCAAGUGUUUUUGGCUGGCUGGGAUAUGUCAGUGAACUCCAAUAAGAACUCUUGCUGGCCUGCAUGGAGGAGAGAGACAGGUAUGAGAUUAUGUAGAAACUAUCUCACUUUGCAAAGGUAAAAUUUUAAUUCAUUGUUCUGCACACUUUUGCCCCUAGUGUUGCCCACGACUGGCAUGUGGACCUCAGAAGGGAUUGCGGUCCUUGCACUGAAAAGUGUUUCUCACCCUUGCUUUAUGACAAUAACUGGAAAUGUUUGAAUCCCUCGGAUAUUUGAAGACUGCAGGUUGCUAUUGCAAUAAAUCUGUGGUAUAAACCUUACUCUUGUGGGAAAUGAGCAGCCAAAUCCAGCAAUGCAUAUUCUUGCCAGUUAGUAUGUGAAGGGUUCCCUUUCUCUUCAACCAGUGACAGGAGCAGACAUACCGUAUUUUUCGCUCUAUAAGACGCACCAGACCAUAAGACGCACCUGGUUCUUGGAGGAGGAAAACAAGGGGAAAAAAUCUGAAUCUCAGAAGCCAGAACAACAAGAGGGAUCGCUGUGCAAUGAAAGAAGUGAUCCCUCUUGCUGUUCUGGCUUCUGGGAGAGCUGCGCAGCCUGCAUUCACUCCAUAAGACGCACACACAUUUCCCCUUACUUUUUAGGAGGGAACGGUAUAUCCAACUGCCCCAGCUCAGGCACGUCUGAAGCUGCUUAUACUGUAAAUAUAAGUAUUUUGCCUGUAUUUAUUUUGCUGCUGUGAAUAAAUACAAGACUACGAGUAAGUAAAUCACAUUUUAAACUUACUUCUCAGUCUGUUGUCUGAUUCUUUGUUAAGCAGGGUUGGAAAGGAGGAGCUUGCUUUGCAGUUGAACUUAUUUAAUUAAAGGGUCUCACAUGCUAAUUCUUAUGCUUUCAAUUAAACUGCUUAAAGAUGGGAUUUAAACUCUGCUCAGCUGAUCUCUUUUUAUGUUCAACCCACACAUAUGGCUGCCUAGAGCAGGGGUAGGCAUUAAUGCAUAAGACGCACACACAUUUCCCCUUACUUUUUAGGAGGGAAAAAGUGAUUCUCCUUUCAUUAAGCAAACCUACCCAGACAUGUAAUUUUGAUGCAAAUUUUGGCAUUUAAUUCUACUUUAAUGCGGAUUUUUUAAAAAAAUAAUGAUUUUUUAAAACUUUUAUUUUUUGAACAUUUUCAGAUCAGCUUGCUUUUAAAAUUUGAUUUUAUGUGUAUGUUUUAUACUUUUUUGCAAACCACUGAUGAUGAUGAUUAAAUGAUAUAUAAAUCCUGCUAAAUAAAAUGGAGAAUUAUUUUUUGAGCCCAUGCCUUCCAAGGCAUCAAGUGAAGAAAUACUUGGUGUAGGUAAAUCCAAAGGGCAGAAAUUCCUUCUUGCAUCACUAGUGUGACAUCAACAAUGCGUCACUGAGAAUUGUGUGCAAGGCAAACAUGGGAGAUAAUCUUUGAAGGCACUGACCCUAUUUUCAAAUGCAUUUCUCAGCAAUCUUGAGUUAAAAUAUUUAAAAGAAAAUCCAUGGGGUAACUAUUUUUGAAAUGGAGGACAUUGCCAUUAAUAUUACAAUCUUCAUUUCUAACAAGAGUACACUAUUUGUUCAUGUAAUAUAUUUUUCUGCACUGUUGAUGUAAGUACUAGAGAUGGGAUUUGAAAACUUAAGGUGUUCAUACCAGAAGGAUUUGCAGAAAAUUCAUUUCUUCCUUAUUAACACCAAUAUGAACAUAAUACUGGUCUAACACACAGUUUUCUUACCCUCACCCUCUUUUUGCAUAACAAUCUCUUUUUCAGUACACACCCUAAGGCCUUUCUCAGUUGAAACAGCGAUCAUUAGUCAUGGCAGAUAGACAUGGCUAGACAUAAAGCUGCCUUCAAUGACAUACUAAAAGAUGACUUCUGAAACAGCCUGACAUUAGGGAUUUAACUUCCAAAUUACUUAGUUCCUCUUCAAAUUAUUUAAUUGCAUUGGACUGGAGCUUUUCUCUUCUGGAUUGGUGUGUGUGUGUAAGGUCGAGCAAUGGCAUUUCCACUGACUCUUUAUGUACACCAUACAAGCAAACUGUUAAUUUAAUUUUAAUGAGAUAGGUAAAUGAAUUCUUAAUAUUAUUUUUCACAAAAGCAAAGCACUUGGAUUUCACUUGGAGAAGCUUGCGAGUUGGAAUCAGGUUGCAGUGGGUGUGGCAGAUUUGAUUUCUGAGGUGGUUUUUGUUGCAGCUUAGCUAAUUAUUAUCCUGAGUCACUUUCUGUUCAAUUUGCUUUCCAUAAAAGUGUGUGUGUGUGGUAGGGGCAGAAAACUUCAAGCGAUGGAUGUGAAAAAAAUCUUGAAAAAGUCUGUGGAUAGUUUAAGAAUAAGGUUAUGUGAUUGAACGCACAUCUUAAUGUACCUUCUGCUCAAAGCAAAGGAGUAUCCAGAUGUAUAAUCAAUUUAGGGCCAUUGAUUCUAAAAACAAAGUUGGCCCGCCCGUGAGACAAGGUGAGGUGACCACCUUUUGUGGCAGGAUCCACAGGGGCAGCAGAUACCAAUGUAGAUCUUUAUUUUCCCCGCUUGAGUCCUGAUUUAGAUUUUCGCUCAUUCCUUCUUCCCCAGUGGAAGAGGGAUGUUGUUUUGUUUGCCUCAGAUGCAAGAAUGUCUUGGGCCUGCCCUACCUAAAAGCCAGGGUAUUCAAGAUAUUACAAGGACAUCCUGUAGUGUCAGGGAACUGACAUCGGAGCUAGAGGUGGAGGCAAGGCUCUCUAAUGAUGCUGGAGAAGGGCCCAGCAGGGAGAGAGGCAGCUCAGCAGAUGGGGAAGCAAUUCAGUGCAACACCAGGAAUAAGGAGGGGCAGAUGGGGGAAUCGGUGAGAGGGCUCCCAGACUCUUCACCGGACACCAGCGGGGAGAGCACUGGUCCUCCGCUACCCACGCCCUCCCUGUGCAGAAGACUUCCGCGCUGCGAAAAUAGGAGGAGACUGGGUGUCAAACAACUUUUAUGUUGGAAAAGGUUUAAGAAACGCCCACUGACGGAUUCUGCUAGCGACUGAGGCAGUCACGAAUUGAAGGGCUGUCCAGACAGAAAGGUUUAACAAGGCAACAUAGCCAGGAGAGGCGGCAACUUACGCACGAGCAACCCCAUACCAUUAUAUGUAGUAAUCAUGGAGCUGAAAGGUAGCCAACUCUAUAGAAAGAAGAGGGCCAAUUCAACACAUCCAUAGCUGGUAUUUGGUCUGUGCAGGUAACAAGAUACACUCAGGAGCACAUCACUCAGGAGAACAUGUGUCCUGAUUUUUGACAUGAAGAAGUAGGCCGAUGUAGUGUACAGUUGCACCACUCAUCUCCACAACCUCUUCUCUUACAUUGUUAAGCUGCUUCAGUAAAAAAAAAAAAAAAAAAAGGUAAAGGACCACUGACCGUUAAGUCCAGUCACGAAUGACUCUGGGGUUGUGGUGCUCAUCUUGCUUUACUGACCGAGGGAAGAAGAAGAAGAAGAAGAAGAAGAAGAAGAAGAAGAAGAAGAGGAAGAAGAGGAAGAAGAAGAAGAAGAAGAGGAGGAGGAGGAGGAGGAGGAGGAGGAGGAGGAGGAGGAGUUUGGAUUUGAUAUCCCGCUUUAUCACUACCCAAAGGAGUCUCAAAGCGGCCAACAUUCUCCUUUCCCUUCCUCCCCCACAACAAACACUCUGUGAGGUGGGUGGGGCUGAGAGACUUCAGAGAAGUGUGACUAGCCCAAGGUCACCCAGCAGCUGCAUGUGGAGGAGCGGAGAUGCGAACCCGGUUCCCCAGAUUACGAGUCCAUCGCUCUUAACCACUACACCACACUGGCUCUCAAACACUGUGUUUCUCCACAGACAGUUUUUCUGGGUCAUGUGGCCAGCAUGACUAAGCCUCUUCUGGCACAAUGGAACACCAAAACCAGAGCAGCACACGGAAACACUGUUUACCUUCCCGCCAGAGUGAUACCUAUUUAUCUACUUGCACUUUGACAUGCUUUUGAACUGCUAGGUGGGCAGGAGCUGGGACCUAGCAAUGGAAGCUCACCCCAUCACAGGACUUCGAACUGCUGACCUUCUGAUCGGCAAGCCCUAGGUUCAGUGGUUUAGACCACAGCGCCACCCGAGUCCCUAAGCUCCUUCAGUAGUACCCCAUAACUGACCUACCAACUGCUGAGCUCAGGGGCAAAAGGAAAGAAAAGGAAAAAGGAAAAAGAAAGAAAUGGUAUUACAAUGCUAGAGCAACAAUGCAGGAAAUCAGGUGAUGAAGCUGAGAGAUCAUUGUGGCUGGGCCCUACUCUGCGACCAUGGAGGCAACAAUAGUUUUAAACAAAAAAUAGAUUUUUGUUAAUCUCACCUAAAUAAUACUUGAAGAUUAUUCACAGAACAGUGUUGUUGCUUUUUAAAGAAUGAACUAGAGGGAGAGUGAUUAAUUUCUUCUCUAUUUCAUAGCAUAGCACAACAAUGAUUCACUAGGUAUGUGCCAUUAAGGGGACCUGCAUUGAUUUCUACGUCUUUUGCUCCCCAGUGCAAAACAUUUACUUUUCUGUGUUUCAGAGAUAAGCUGGGGGGGGGGGGCGGUAUUGGAGACAAGAGCAUGCUCUCAGAGAUGACUUUGGAAAGCUACAUAAUGGGAUUGGGUAUCUGCUGGAAAAUAAACAAUUAGCCUAAAAAUCGAAGGUUUACAAUAGGGAUUUCUCCAAAAUUCAGUGUUGUGUCAGCAGUUAUUGUCCAAGUAUCAUUUUUGUGAACAUGUAAAGUUACUUGAAAAUCUUCAUUCCUGUAGAGAGACUGAAAAUGUCACCCCUCUGCCCCAAAACCAAAUUGGCCGACAGCAUUUUAUAGUUAACUUUCCCCACCUAUUGCUAUAAAAGUGCAUUUCAAAACUGAGUUGUCGCUUUCCCCUGAGAAGACCCCAAUUCUCACAGGCCCUUAAAGCAUACAAUGUCAAGGUGCAUCUCCUGAGCAACCUGGUACCAUGUUUUCGUAGGCCACAGAAAUGUUGCCUUGACAUAGCAACUUUUGGAAGCUGCCCAGAUUGGCUAGGGCAACCCAGUCUGAUGGCCACCAUAUAAAUAAUAAAAAGAAAUAGAAGUCCAAAUCUCUAGUGGACACAGCGAAUGGUUCUUGUAGCACAGUUCUUGGGAGUUUGGUCACCUUUGUCGGAAUAUUCAAGGUGACCUAUAAUACGUGUCAAUCAAAAUCAACGAUUUAUACAUCCAGAAUAAUAUAAAACAAUAACCUCAGUGAUAAAACACAGCAUCAAAGCAAUCAAGAAAUUGAACAGCACAGUGAAGACAGCUUUCCUCUUAGCGAAGAAAUGAUGGGACAAUUAAAGAUGACAUUGUGUUUAAAAAUGCUGGCUGCGUUCCGAGAUGGAACACUAAUUUCUGAAUGUUUCAACAGAAAUUCAAGGGGAUGAUGACAUCUGGAAUAGCAAGGUUUGAGCUCAGCAGCAAAAGAGGUCAAUGAGAAGGGUAGGUAGACUUUUCCAGGUUUGGUGUUCCAUAUAACUGCUUUGAGGGCACCCCCCCCCCAAUCAAGCAAGUGUAUAAAUUUUAUGAAAUAGAUAAAGUGGGCACUACUACCAUAGUAUAAGUCCUGCUCCAUAACCUGGCAAAUAAAAUAUCAGAAAAGCAGUUUUGGGGUGGGGGUGGGGGUGGAGAGACAGAUGGUGCUAGCAAUCACUGGCCAACUUGUAAGGGAUCAAUAGAGCUUAACAAAUGCAGGGCUCACCCAGUUUAUCCAAAUUUAUCCAAGAUUAUCCAAAUAAUAAUAAUAAUCAGAACCUUCAGUUAGGUCCAGCAGCAAACAGCCUCUCUUAAGCAGAGUUGAUCAGAGCAUUUAUAAUACUUGCAAAGAGAAACCUGCUGGUAAAAAGGCAAUUUAUUACCCCUAAUGCAAUUAAUUAAUUAAGAAUGCUGCUCGCCAAAGAAUUGAUGCUUUGAAUUAUGGCGCUGGAGGAGAUUUUUGAGAGUCCCAUGGACUGCAAGAAGAGCAAACCUAACCAUUCUUAAGGAAAUCAGCCCUGAGUGCUCACUGGAAGGACAGAUCCUGAAGCUGAGGCUCCAGUACUUUGGCCACCUCAUGAGAAGAGAAGACUCCCUGGAAAAGACCCUGAUGUUGGGAAAGAUUGAGGGCACAAGGAGAAGGGAAUGACAGAGGAUGAGAUGGCUGGGCAGUGUUCUCAACGCUACCAGCAUGAGUUUGACCAAACUCUGGGAGGCAGUGGAAGACAGAAGUGCCUGGCGUGCUCUGGUCCAGGGGGUCACGAAGAGUCGGACAUGACUAAAUGACUAAACAACAACAAUGGAAUUAAGACUUAGAUUAUGUUUCAAAUGCUUCAGCUCAGUGUAGGACAUUUGUUAAGCUGCUGAUGGCAUUGUUCCUGUAGUCCUCAUUCUCCAAGGAAAUCGACAUUUUCAUUUUCCAAGCUGCCAGUCCUUGGAGAGCAGGGCAUUCAUUUCUUAAUAUAACAUGUCUCCUCCUUUUUGAAGUCUUUCAAACUGCGGUGCAGAAUGCUUCCAAGUGCAAAAACUGCCCAUGCCUUCCUAUUGACAGCGCUUUUAAUGUUACUUAGGCAAUCAAAUCCUCAUCACUAGCUCUCCUCCCAUGCUUUGGAAAGAAACAAUAAUUAAAAAGCUCUUGCUGAAAUGUUUGAUUCAUGCAACAAAGCAAUUUACAGCACAGUAAAAAUCCAGCAUGCAUUAAUGCUGUGUUUCAGCUGGCACAGUCUUCCUCUUAGCAUAGAAAUGACGGGACAUACACAUUUUGCAAUUAAAGAAGACAUCUUACAAUGUGUUCCAAAGAGCUCCUAAAGUGAAUACUAAUUUCUGCAUGCUUCAAUUUCCUUUCCCAUUUUUUAAAAACUUGUCUUUGCAUAAUUAUAAGUUAUGCACUUCAUCAUUUGAAACUGUUGAAUGAACUGGUGAUGGAUUACAGAUGGAUGUGCGUAACAUUCCCAUUUUCUUUUUCUGAAGCAAACAUUAAAAAAACAACAACCCACAAAGCUUUUCCAAACACCAGCAUCACAUGUUCUGGAUAUGUUUGUUGCUACUGUUGCUGUUCCUCCUUUUUAUAAUUUCUUAGUGGUUGCUUCCAUCAUUAUGACAGAUAACAUUCAAAGUGAACCUAGUUUCGCAUUCAGAGCUCAGACUGCUUACUAUUGAGUAGAGUGCUGGUAUACUGCUCAUUAUUGCUUUCCAUUAAAAAUGAAAGUUGAUUUUCUGUUUCACAGGGUGCUAGGAUAUUGAACACCCUUCUCCAUCCUAGUCAGUUGACUUAGCUGCACAACAUCUUCCACAAAAAUAUGCCAUUUUUCUUUCUUUCUCAGGUAGCUGAAAGAGCAGUGAGGAAACCUAUUGCUUUCUUUGGAACAUGUCUGCAUUUUGGGAAGUGCAAAGGUACAGCUAUUCACAGCAUAAUUAGGAUUUUGCCAUCUCCAAGGUGAUUUGAAGGUACACUGAAUCAAAGCUACACUAUACCCUAGAAUUAGCUCAAGACCUUUUGGAGCUGAUGUUCCAGAUGUCAGAUUUCAUCCUGACUGGCAAGGUUUCAGAUGCAGAAGAAUUUCAGAUGCCACUCUUCAAAGGUUAAGUCUAACUUGGCAGGCACAAAUAGGGCCCUCACACAUUCCACCUGAUUCAAUCUACCAUCUAACUUUGUGCACGUCAGACCCCUCUUUAAAACAAACUCUUAGCACCCUGCCUUAAUAUGCUCUUGCCCCCAGCCCCCAUCCUCCUUGGCUGAAAGGUUGAAGCAGUGAUAAUUGGUGUCACAAAGUGAUGGGCAGACUCUGUACAACUCUCCUUGAAAAACUUUUGAUCUUUCUCAAACUUUUCAGCCUCUCUCCCCAGCCUUUACCCCCACUUCCUUAUUAUUGUAAAAACAACUUAUUGCCUUCCUCCAGAGCCGUCUUUCCCAUAGGGCUUAGUGGUGCAUUGUGCCAGGGUGCCGACCUCUCAAGGGUGCCCCAGUGAACGGGGGAGCUGCACAGUUUUGCUGGUGGCCUCCCCUUUCCCUGGAUGCCCGUCAGCUGCACCCAGUCAACCAGAUGGUUGGCGGGCGUGCAACUUGCCUCCCAAGCCUCCACAAAAGGAGACCGAUCCCUGCAGAGGCUUAGGAUGGAAGCUGCACCCCCCCUCAAUCUGUGGUAAUUUGGGGGUGGAUAUUUGCACCCUGGUGCUACAUCUGCUAAUGACGGAGCUGCCUUCCUCAUUUCUAUUUAGCCCUUCCCAGUUCUCAAAAUUCAGAUGUUUGGGGUGUCUGUAGAUUUUUUGUUUGGGAAGAGUGGAGGGGGAGAACUGGCAGUGGAGAAUCUGUAAGCCACGGGGAAGGAAUUCAUAUUUUGAACUCAUCUGAAUAUGCAUAUUUAUUCUCUCUCUCUCUCUCUUUCACACACACACACACACACACACACACACGGGGUGGUGGGAGACUUACUAAUGUAAAGGUAAAGGGACCCCUGACCAUUAGGUCCAGUCGUGACCUACUCUGGGGUUGCGGCGUUCAUCUCACUUUAUUGGCCGAGGGAGCCAGCAUACAGCUUCUGGGUCAUGUGGCCAGCAUGACUAAGCCGCUUCUGGUGAAACCAGAGCAGCGCACGGAACCGCUGUUUACCAUCCCGCUGGAGCGGUACCUAUUUAUCUACUUGCACUUCGAUCUGCUUUCAAACUGCUAGGUUGGCAGGAGCUGGGACUGAGCAA